CUCUGCACAUUUAGGAUUGAAGUAUUGUGUUGCAGCACUCAGUGACGUUAAUUUAGGGCAUUUCAGUGUCAGUUCCACUAUAUUUCGGGGGACAUUUAACAGUGCAAUUUCAUGGUUAUUACAGUGUAAUUUCAAGGUUCUUGCAUUCUAAGUUCAGAGAAUUACAAUGUUAGUUUAUGUGAAUUCCCGUGCAUUUUACUGUGUAAUUUAAGUGCAAUGGAAAUUAUAGUGUAAAUUCAGUGUAAUUUACUAUGUAAAUUUACGGAAAUUACACUGUAAUUCGUGUGCAACUUUUAGUGUAAUUUACACUAUAAUUUCAACGGGUUUACAGUAGAGUAAUUUAAGUGUAAUUACAGUGUGCACUUUAGAGCAAUCAUACUAUAUAUUUAGUGAAUUUAAAGUAUCACUCCAUACCUUUCGGGUUUGUCUUUUUUCUCUACAAGUUACUGCUAUACUGUUGAUUGAUUCUACCCUUGCGAAAGAAACUUUGAUGAGCACAUAAUUUUCUACUAUGUAAUUUGAGCAGCUUGGUAACCGUAAUUUUCAGUUUCCUUUGACCCUAGGCCCUUGUGCUUUAGAAUUGCUAUUUUUUGUCAGUGUACAUGCUAGAUCAUGUGGUUUAUGAUACUUCUCUGGUCCUUAUAAACAAAGUGACAUGUUUGUACUGUGGAAUAGAAAGAAUAUUUCAGUGUCUCUCUUUAGGCCUUUUGUCGAAUUGUUAUGUGGUCCAGUGCAGCCUUACGAAACCGGGUUCUAUGCAGUUCAUGUACAGUGCAAAACUCAUUAUUGCAGGUCAGGCCUGUAGCAUGUCUUGGGUCAUUGACAUGCAGGAAAGAAGGAAAAAGGACAUAGAAGUAUCAUUUUGUUAUUGGUCAAGAAAAUUUGAAUAAUGUCCAACUGAUUUCAGUUGAAUGACAAAUAGACAAUCCCUUGUUUAAUCAGUAGAUAUACACCAUUAACUCAAAUAGCAAAGAAAUACUAGUCCAUUUAUAAUCGAUGAUUGCGCAUGAUGCAUCCAUCCAUUCUAUCGGAGAGGCUGUGUUUUUUUUCUUCUUGUGCUAAGGUUGAUAGCAUCACAUAUCUUAUGCUUUUGUUUCUCAAGUAGAGCCUUGAGAUAGAUGUGUCUGCAACCGUCCUCGAAUGGUUGUGCAAUAAUAAUGGUCCUAGCUAAUUACUAGUAUGCACUGCUUAUAAAACAACUUGUUGCUCGUUUCACUUUGAGUAUGCUGUUGCUGCUAAAGUAGCAACAACAACAGCCAUGCUUUGGUUCCCCAAAAUUCAGAUGGCACUGGCAUCUCUACAUACACACACAUAUAUGAAUAUGCACCUCAGUUUGGUUCAGUUUGCAUGUGUACCGUUGCUUUAACUUUGACUGAAACUAUCUUGGUGGCACUUGCAUCAAUGUUGUGCUCUGCCCUUGUAUAUGUCCUUGGAGAAGAUGACCAUUGGACUGUAGGGGACGAACAACCUUGUCCUGCUCGAGGAGGAGGAGGAUGGCCACCCUGAGCUCGAGGACGACACGACAACAGGAGCACUCACCUCCCUACUAAGGUGAAGGUCCGAUCCGCCUGUUUAGAUGGUCUGCUCUUGUCUUGUGAUCUGAGGGGAGAAGAAAGCCAUUGGCCUCAAUUAUAUUUGCAUGUGAGGGGAGCGAUCCUUUUGGUAGAUGCAGAGUAUAGAUUACAUAUUCCACAAAACUCACCACACGAGUAUACUAACUAUAUCCACAAAAUUCACCACACGAGCAUACUACCUAUGUCCAAAUGUGGGUUUGAUACUUUCGACAUGAAACAUGAAUAUCAGGUUGGGAGUUUGGAGUUUAAUCAAAUAACGCAGCAAGGCGAUCAUCGGUAGGGAUGCACCUUUGAGGCGGCAAGGAGGGCUUCUCAAAGGCAGUACACAUGGCUUAUUACUGCUUGUAUGUGAGUACGCAGAUGUGGCGUCUAUGGAUAGAGGGUUAGGGGCGCAACGCAAGCGGCAGUAGGGGAUACACAACCUGAUUUGAUUUGGUCAAUCACGGGAAAUGGGAGAAGGCCUAGGGUGCAAAGUUUAGAUCGGUGGGUUGGUAGCGUUAGGCAUAAUAGAGAUCAAACCUUUUUCAUAGGCGUAUGUAGGUUAUUUCCUUGAAGCAUUUUAUCAAAAUGGUGUAGGCGGGUAAUAUCUCUCAACUUAAAUGUGAAGGGGAUAUAUUAUUUCCUUGUAGAGGCCGAGGAAUACAUGGCGUACCGCUACAUAUGCAACCAUGAUUUUUUGUGGAUGGUUACGAGAGAACCUGAAAGAUACCAUGGACCGAAGCAUGGGCACAUGAAGUUCCUGUUGGGGAACGUAGUAAUUUCAAAAAAAUUCCUACGCACACGCAAGAUCAUGGUGAUGCAUAGCAACGAGAGGAGAGAGUAUGAUCUACGUACCCUUGUAGAUCGACAACGGAAGCGUUAACUUGGUUGAUGUAGUCGUACGUCUUCACGGCCCGGCCGAUCAAGCACCGAAACUACGGCACCUCCGAGAUCUAGCACACAUUCAGCUCGAUGACGAUCCCCGGACUCCGAUCCAGCAAAGUGUCGGGGAAGAGUUCCGUCAGCACGACGGCGUGGUGACGAUAUUGAUGUACUACCGUCGCAGGGCUUCGCCUAAGCACCGCUACAAUAUUAUCGAGGACUAUGGUGGAAGGGGGCACCGCACACGGCUAAGAAUAUGAUCACAUGGAUCAACUUGUGUCUCUAGGGGUGCUCCCUGCCUCCGUAUAUAAAGGCUCAAAGGGGGAGGGGUGGCCGGCCAAGAGGAGGCGCGCCAGGAGGAGUCCUACUCCCUCCAGGAGUAGGACUCCCCCCCUUUCCUAAUUGGAAUAGGAUUCGCGGAGGGGGGAAAGAGGAGAGAGAGGAGGAAGGGGGGGGCGACCCCCUCUCCUUGUCCUAUUUGGACCAAAGGGGGGAGGGGCGCGCGGCCCAUAUCUGGCCACCUCUCCUCUCUUCCACUAAGGCCCACUAAGGCCCAUAUACCUCCCGGGGGGUUCCGGUAACCUCCCGGUAAUCCGGUAAAAUCCCGAUUUCACCCGGAACACUUCCGAUAUCCAAAUAUAGGCUUCCAACAUAUCAAUCUUUAUGUCUCGACCAUUUCGAGACUCCUCGUCAUGUCCGUGAUCACAUCCGGGGCUCCGAACAAACUUCGGUACAUCAAAAUGCAUAAACUCAUAAUAUAACUGUCAUCGAAACCUUAAGCGUGCCGACCCUACGGGUUCGAGAACAAUGUAGACAUGACCGAGACACGUCUCCGGUCAAUAACCAAUAGCGGCACCUGGAUGCUCAUAUUGGAUCCUACAUAUUCUACGAAGAUCUUUUAUCGGUCAGACCGCAUAACAACAUACGUUGUUCCCUUUGUCAUCGGUAUGUUACUUGCCCGAGAUUCGAUCAUCGGUAUCCAAUACCUAGUUCAAUCUCGUUACCGGCAAGUCUCUUUACUCGUUCCGUAAUCCAUCAUCCCGCAACUAACUCAUUAGUCGCAAUGCUUGUAAGGCUUAUGUGAUGUGCAUUACCGAGAGGACCCAGAGAUACCUCUCCGACAAUCGGAGUGACAAAUCCUAAUCUCGAAAUACGCCAACCCAACAUGUACCUUUGGAGACACCUGUAGAGCUCCUUUAUAAUCACCCAGUUACGUUGUGACGUUUGGUAGCAUAAAAAGUGUUCCUCCGGCAAACGGGGGUUGCAUAAUCUCAUAGUCAUAGGAACAUGUAUAAGUCAUGAAGAAAGCAAUAGCAACAUACUAAACGAUCGGGUGCUAAGCUAAAGGAAUGGGUGAUGUCAAUCAGAUCAUUCAUCUAAUGAUGUGAUCCUGUUAAUCAAAUGACAACUCUUUGUCCGUGUUUAGGAAACAUAACCAUCUUUGAUUAACAAGCUAGUCUAGUAGAGGCAUACUAGUGACACUCUGUUUGUCUAUGUAUUCACGCAUGUAUUAUGUUUCCGGUUAAUACAAUUCUAGCAUGAAUAAUAAACUUUUAUCAUGAUAUAUAAGGAAAUAAAUAAUAACUUUAUUAUUGCCUCUAGGGCAUAUUUCCUUCAGUCUCCCACUUGCACUAGAGUCAAUAAUCUAGAUUACACAGUAAUGAUUCUAACACCCAUGGAGCCUUGGUGCUGAUCAUGUUUUGCUCGUGGAAGAGGCUUAGUCAACGGGUCUUCUACAUUCAGAUCCGUAUGUAUCUUGCAAAUCUCUAUGUCUCCCACCUGGACUAGAUCCCGGAUGGAAUUGAAGCGUCUCUUGAUGUGCUUGGUUCUCUUGUGAAAUCUGGAUUCCUUUGCCAAGGCAAUUGCACCAGUAUUGUCACAAAAGAUUUUCAUUGGACCCGAUGCACUAGGUAUGACACCUAGAUCGGAUAUGAACUCCUUCAUCCAGACUCCUUCAUUCGCUGCUUCCGAAGCAGCUAUGUAUUCCGCUUCACAUGUAGAUCCCGCCACGACGCUCUGUUUAGAACUGCACCAACUGACAGCUCCACCAUUUAAUGUAAACACGUAUCCGGUUUGCGAUUUAGAAUCAUCCGGAUUAGUGUCAAAGCUUGCAUCAACGUAACCAUUUACGAUGAGCUCUUUGUCACCUCCAUAUACAAGAAACAUAUCCUUAGUCCUUUUCAGGUACUUCAGGAUGUUCUUGACCGCUGUCCAGUGAUCCACUCCUAGAUUACUUUGGUACCUCCCUGCUAGACUUAUAGCAAUGCACACAUCAGGUCUGGUACACAGCAUUGCAUACAUGAUAGAGCCUAUGGCUGAAGCAUAGGGAACAUCUUUCAUUUUCUCUCUAUCUUCUGCAGUGGUCGGCCAUUGAGUCUGACUCAACUUCACACCUUGUAACACAGGCAAGAACCCUUUCUUUGCUUGAUCCAUUUUGAACUUCUUCAAAAUUUUGUCAAGGUAUGUGCUUUGUGAAAGUCCAAUUAAGCGUCUUGAUCUAUCUCUAUAGAUCUUUAUGCCUAAUAUGUAAGCAGCUUCACCAAGGUCUUUCAUUGAAAAACUCUUAUUCGAGUAUCCCUUUAUGCUAUCCAGAAAUUAUAUAUCAUUUCCAAUCAGUAAUAUGUCAUCCACAUAUAAUAUCAUAAAUGCUACAGAGCUCCCACUAACUUUCUUGUAAAUACAGGCUUCUCCAAAGGUCUGUAUAAAACCAAAUGCUUUGAUCACACUAUCAAAGCGUUUAUUCCAACUCCGAGAGGCUUGCACCAGUCCAUAAAUGGAUCACUGGAGCUUGCACAGUUUGUUAGCUCCCUUUGGAUCGACAAAACCUUCCGGUUGCAUCAUAUAAAACUCUUCUUCCAGAAAUCCAUUCAGGAAUGCAGUUUUGACAUCCAUCUGCCAAAUUUCAUAAUCAUAAAAUGCGGCAAUUGCUAACAUGAUUCGGACAGACUUAAGCAUCGCUACGGGUGAGAAGGUCUCAUCGUAGUCAACCCCUUGAACUUGUCGAAAACCUUUUGCGACAAGUCAAGCUUUGUAGACAGUAAUAUUACCGUCAGCGUCAGUCUUCUUCUUGAAGAUCCAUUUAUUCUCAAUUGCUUGCCGAUCAUCGGGCAAGUCAACCAAAGUCCAUACUUUGUUCUCAUACAUGGAUCCCAUCUCAGAUUUCAUGGCUUCAAGCCAUUUUUCGGAAUCUGGGCUCACCAUCGCUUCUUCAUAGUUCGUAGGUUCAUCAUGAUCUAGUAGCAUGACUUCCAGAACAGGAUUACCGUACCACUCUGGCGCGGAUCUUACUCUGGUUGAUCUACGAGGUUCAGUAGUAUCUUGUUCUGAAGUUUCAUGAUCAUUAUCAUUAGCUUCCUCACUAAUUGGUGUAGGUGUCGCAAAAACAGGUUUCUGUUAUGUGCUACUUUCCAAUAAGGGAGCAGGUACAGUUACCUCGUCAAGUUCUACUUUCCUCCCACUCACUUCUUUCGAGAGAAACUCCUUCUCUAGAAAGGAUCCAUUCUUAGCAACGAAUGUCUUGCCUUCGGAUCUGUGAUAGAAGGUGUACCCAACAGUCUCCUUUGGGUAUCCUAUGAAUACACAUUUCUCCGAUUUCGGUUCGAGCUUAUCAGGUUGAAGCUUUUUCACAUAAGCAUCGCAGCCCCAAACUUUAAGAAACGACAACUUUGGUUUCUUGCCAAACCAUAGUUCAUAAGGUGUCAUCUCAACGGAUUUUGAUGGCGCCCUGUUUAACGUGAAUGCGGCUGUCUCUAAAGCAUAACCCCAAAAUGAUAGCGGUAAAUUUGUAAGAGACAUCAUAGAUCGCACCAUAUCAAGUAAAGUACGAUUACGACAUUCGGACACACCAUUACGCUGAGGUGUUCCGGGUGGCGUGAGUUGCAAAACUAUUCCGCAUUGUUUCAGAUGUAGACCAAACUCGUAACUCAAAUAUUCUCCUCCACGAUCAGAUCGCAGAAACUUUAUUUUCUUGUUACGAUGAUUUUCAACUUCACUCUGAAAUUCUUUGAACUUUUCAAAUGUUUCAGACUUAUGCUUCAUUAAGUAGAUAUACCCAUAUCUGCUUAAAUCAUCUGUGAAGGUGAGAAAAUAACGAUAUCCGCCACGAGCCUCAACAUUCAUCGGACCACAUACAUCUGUAUGUAUGAUUUCCAACAAAUCUGUUGCUCUCUCCAUUGUAUCGGAGAAUGGUGUUUUAGUCAUCUUGCCCAUGAGGCACGGUUCGCAGGUACCAAGUGAUUCAUAAUCAAGAGGUUCCAAAAGUCCAUCUGUAUGGAGUUUCUUCAUGCGCUUUACACCGAUAUGACCUAAACGGCAGUGCCACAAAUGAGUUGCCCUAUCAUUAUCAACUCUGCAUCUUUUGGCUUCAACAUUAUGAAUAUGUGUGUUACUACUAUCGAGAUUCAUCAAAAAUAGACCACUCUUCAAAGGUGCAUGACCAUAAAAGAUAUCACUCAUAUAAAUAGAACAACCAUUAUUCUCUAAUUUAAAUGAAUAACCGUCUCGCAUUAAACAAGAUCCAGAUAUAAUGUUCAUGCUCAAUGCUGGCACCAAAUAACAAUUAUUUAGGUCUAAUACUAAUCCCGAAGGUAGAUGUAGAGGUAGCGUGCCGACCGCGAUCACAUUGACUUUAGAACCAUUUCCCACGCGCAUCGUCACCUCGUCCUUUGCCAGUGUUCGCUUAAUCCGUAGUCCCUGUUUCAAGUUGCAAAUAUUAGCAACAGAACCAGUAUCAAAUACCCAGGUGCUACUGCGAGCUCUAGUAAGGUACACAUCAAUAACAUGUAUAUCACUUAUACCUUUGUUCACCUUGCCAUCCUUCUUAUCCGCCAAAUACUUGGGGCAGUUCCGCUUCUAGUGACCAGUCUGCUUGCAUUAGAAGCACUCAAUUUCAGGCUUAGGUCCAGACUUGGGUUUCUUCUCCUGAUCAACAACUUGCUUGCUUUUCUUCUUGAAGUUCCCCUUCUUCUUCCCUUUGCCCUUUUUCUUGAAACUAGUGGUCUUGUUGACCAUCAACACUUGAUGCUCCUUCUUGAUUUCUACCUCCGCAGCUUUUAGCAUUGCGAAGAGCUCGGGAAUAGUCUUAUUCAUCCCUUGCAUAUUAUAGUUCAUCACAAAGCUCUUGUAGCUUGGUGGCAGUGAUUGGAGAAUUCUGUCAAUGACGCAAUCAUCUGGAAGAUUAACUCCCAUCUGAAUCAAGUGAUUAUUAUACCCAGACAUUUUGAGUAUAUGCUCACUGACAGAACUGUUCUCCUCCAUCUUGCAGCUAUAGAACUUAUUGGAGACUUCAUAUCUCUCAAUCCAGGCAUUUGCUUGAAAUAUUAACUUCAACUCCUGGAACAUCUCAUAUGCUCCAUGACGUUCAAAGCGUCGUUGAAGUCUCUAAGCCGUAAAGCAUGGCACACUGAACUAUCGAGUAGUCAUCAGCUUUGCUCUGCCAGACGUUCAUAACAUCUGGUGUUGCUCCAGCAGCAGGCCUGGCACCCAGCGGUGCUUCCAGGACGUAAUUCUUCUAUGCAGCAAUGAGGAUAAUCCUCAAGUUACGGACCCAGUCCGUGUAAUUGCUACCAUCGUCUUUCAACUUUGCUUUCUCAAGGAACGCAUUAAAAUUUAACGGAACAACAGCACGGGCCAUUUAUCUACAAUUAACAUAAACAAGCAAGAUACUAUCAGGAACUAAGUUCAUGAUAAAUUUAAGUUCAAUUAAUCAUAUUACUCAAGAACUCCCACUUAGAUAGACAUCCCUCUAAUCAUCUAAACCAUAACCGAUCAUCACGUGAAAUGGAGUAGUUUUCAGUGGUGAACAUCGCUAUGUUGAUCAUAUCUACUAUAUGAUUCACGCACGAUCUUUCGAUCUCAGUGUUCCGAGGCCAUAUCUGCAUAUGCUAGGCUCGUCAAGUUUAACCUGAGUAUUCUGCGUGUGCAAAACUGGCUUGCACCCGUUGUAGAUGGACGUAGAGCUUAUCACACCCGAUCAUCACGUGGUGUCUGGGCACAACAAACUUUGGCAACGGUGCAUACUCGGGGAGAACACUUUUAUCUUGAAAUUUAGUGAGAGAUCAUCUUAUAAUGCUACCGUCAAUCAAAGCAAGAUAAGAUGCAUAAAAGAUAAACAUCACAUGCAAUCAAUAUAAGUGAUAUGAUAUGGCCAUCAUCAUCUUGUGCUUGUGAUCUCCAUCCUCGAAGCACCAUCGUGAACACCAUUGUCACCAGCGCGACACCUUGAUCUCCAUCAUAGCAUCAUUGUCAUCUUGCCAAUCUUAUGCUUCUACGACUAUCGCUACCGCUUAGUGAUAAAGUAAAGCAUUACAGGGCGAUUGCGUUGCAUACAAUAAAGCGACAACCAUAUGGCUCCUGCCAGUUGCCGAUAACUCGGUUACAAAACAUGAUCAUCUCAUACAAUAAAAUUUAGCAUCAUGUCUUGACCAUAUCACAUCACAACAUGCCCUGCAAAAACAAGUUAGACGUCCUCUACUUUGUUGUUGCAAGUUUUACGUUGCUGCUGCGGGCUUAAGCAAGAACCAAUCUUACCUACGCAUCAAAACCACAAUGAUAGUUUGUCAAGUUGGUGCUGUUUUAACCUUCGCAAGGACCGGGCGUAGCCACACUCGGUUCAACUAAAGUUGGAGAAACUGCCACCCGCAAGCCACCUAUGUGCAAAGCACGUCGGGAGAACCGGUCUCGCGUAAGCGUACGCGUAAUGUCGGUCUGGGCCGCUUCGUCCAGCAAUACCGCCGAACCAAAGUAUGACAUGUUGGUAAGCAGUAUGACUUAUAUCGCCCACAACUCACUUGUGUUCUACUCGUGCAUAUAACAUCAACAUAUAAAACCUAGGCUCGGAUGCCACUGUUGGGGAACGUAGUAAUUUCAAAAAAAUUCCUACGCACACGCAAGAUCAUGGUGAUGCAUAGCAACGAGAGGGGAGAGUAUGAUCUACGUACCCUUGUAGAUCGACAACGAAAGCGUUAACUUCGUUGAUGUAGUCGUACGUCUUCACGGCCCGACCGAUCAAGCACUGAAACUACGGCACCUCCUAGUUCUAGCACACAUUCAGCUUGAUGAUGAUCCCCGGACUCCGAUCCAGCAAAGUGUCGGGGAAGAGUUCCGUCAGCACGACGGCGUGGUGACGAUCUUGAUGUACUACCGUCGCAGGGCUUCGCCUAAGCACCACUACAAUAUUAUCGAGGACUAUGGUGGAAGGGGGCACCGCACACGGCUAAGAAUAUGAUCACGUGGAUCAACUUGUGUCUCUAGGGGUGCUCCCUGCCUCCGUAUAUAAAGGCUCAAAGAGGGGGGCGGCCGGCCAAGAGGAGGCGCGCCAGGAGGAGUCCUACUCCCUCCGGGAGUAGGACUCCCCCCUUUCCUAAUUGGAAUAGGAUUCGCGGAGGGGGGAAAGAGGAGAGAGAGGAGGAAGGGGGGCCGGCCCCCUCUCCUUGUCCUAUUCGGACCACAGGGGGGAGGGGCGCGCGACCCAUCUCUGGCCACCUCUCCUCUCUUCCACUAAGGCCCACUAAGGCCCAUAUACCUCCCGGGGGGUUCCGGUAACCUCCCGGUAAUCCGGUAAAAUCCCUAUUUCACCCGGAACACUUCCGAUAUCCAAAUAUAGGCUUCCAACAUAUCAAUCUUUAUGUCUCGACCAUUUCGAGACUCCUCGUCAUGUCCGUGAUCACAUCUGGGACUCCGAACAAACUUCGGUACAUCAAAAUGCAUAAACUCAUAAUAUAACUGUCAUCGAAACCUUAAGCGUGCGGACCCUACGGGUUCGAGAACAAUGUAGACAUGAACGAGACACGUCUCCGGUCAAUAACCAAUAGCGGAACCUGGAUGCUCAUAUUGGCUCCUACAUAUUCUACGAAGAUCUUUUAUCAGUCAGACUGCAUAAGAACAUACGUUGUUCCCUUUGUCAUCGGUAUGUUACUUGCCCGAGAUUCGAUCGUCGGUAUCCAAUACCUAGUUCAAUCUCGUUACCGGCAAGUCUCUUUACUCGUUCCGUAAUCCAUCAUCCCGCAACUAACUCAUUAGUCGCAAUGCUUGCAAGGAUUAUGUGAUGUGCAUUACCGAGAGGGCCCAGAGAUACCUCUCCGACAAUCGGAGUGACAAAUCCUAAUCUCGAAAUAUGCCAACCCAACAUGUACCUUUGGAGACACCUAUAGAGCUCCUUUAUAAUCACCCAGUUACGUUGUGGCGCUUGGUAACACACAAAGUGUUCCUCCGGCAAACUGGAGUUGCAUAAUCUCAUAGUCAUAGGAACAUGUAUAAGUCAUGAAGAAAGCAAUAGCAACAUACUAAACGAUCGGGUGCUAAGCUAAUGGAAUGAGUCAUGUCAAUCAGAUCAUUCAUCUAAAGAUGUGAUCCUGUUAAUCAAAUGACAACUCUUUGUCCAUGGUUAGGAAACAUAACCAUCUUUGAUUAACAAGCUAGUCUAGUAGAGGCAUACUAGUGACAAUCUGUUUGUCUAUGUAUUCACACAUGUAUUAUGUUUCCGGUUAAUACAAUUCUAGCAUGAAUAAUAAACUUUUAUCAUGAUAUAUAAGGAAAUAAAUAAUAACUUUAUUAUUGCCUCUAGGGCAUAUUUCCUUCAGUUCCAACACCGAAGGGUAAGGAGACGGGCCCGCGUCAUUUACGUCCGGAAUAUGCGACCUUGAUUCUUUGUCGAUGGUGAUGCCAAGACUAUAGGAUAAGGUGGAUCCGGACACAUGAGCAGAUGAAGUGCCUGACACGAAGUUGGUUAAGGAGCUGGACCCAAGUCAUCUACACCGCAAAUUGGUCGAAGGUGUGCCGUGAAUGAUAGAUGUACUUGAGGGGGGAGAAAGCCUGUGAAAAGAACAUACGGUUGCUCGAUGAUGACACAUGUCUUGAGAGGAUGGCGAGAACCCUAGAUAUGGUUAAGGCACGCCACGAGAACAUCACCCCGGUCGCGAGAUUCUCAGUGGUGUGCGGCAACCGAAGCCAAAAGGGCACCCCCGCAAGACCUUGAAAUGCCAGAGCGGUGGGCGCACAAGCAAUGGUGAGGAAAAUCACAUAAGGUACCAAGCAAGGCCAUCCUGAUCAGGGCUCCAUUGCCAAGCUUAUGUCCACCACUGCGAUUCAGACAAACUUUCAACUGGCGUCUCUGUCUUCUCAAGAUUUCCAUGGUCCCAUCAGGAUGUAUAUAUGUACUUUGUUUAUUUUGAAAAUUAAUAUAUCACCAAAGAAAUUGUAGUACUUGUCAUUCUUUUAAUUACUUAGUAGUUUGCAUGAUAGACUCAAUCUUAUAUUUACUAAUUAGAGGCACCAAAUAAGCGACCACGUUAAUCCUCAAAAACUAAGAAUAUUAUCCAUCCGAUCUCCAUAUUAAGUAUCUGUAGCCGUCCAUUGGACAACUCAAGAGUCCUGGGUUACUAUCCCACGUCAUGCUCCAUGUAAUGUGAAAAAAAAAUCAUCUCCUUGGCCAAAUCCAUCCCACGUCAUGCUCCAUGUAAUGUGAAAAAAAGCAUCUCCCUGGCCAAAUUCUUCCUCCCCUGAUCUAUCAUGUGAGGCACUUGCGCAUCAUCCACAAAUCCCUAGCGCAAAUCCAUCCCACGUCAUGCUCCAUGUAAUGUGAAAAAAAUCAUCUCCCUGGCCAAAUUCUUCCUCCCCCGAUCUAUCAUGUGAGGCACUUGCGCAUCAUCCACAAAUCCCUAGCGCUGCUCUUCCAGGUCGUCCUCCUCCUUCCUAUCUUUUGUUGUCUUAAUGCAAAACGAUUCCGUGAGAUCCUUGUGAUCCUCUUCAUCUUCACGUAGAAAUCUGAACUGUCCCAACCACGCUGCAGAUCUGUGGUCCGUCUUGGACAAAGAGAAGGCCCUUUCAAUCUCCACAGAUGCCAUGCCCCAACCAAACCGCAACCCAUGAUAAACGAUGUUGUUGAGAAGGAGGCGCUACCUAAGUCUGAUCGGACAUAUGCCAUUGUUAGGGAAGCUACAAGUCGAAGAACUAUGGUAGACUGAUUGCGAGUAAUUAAGGAGCUAUCAACGAUCCAGUAGGUUUUUGUUAUUAGGAAUUUUUAUGUAGUGCGACUUGAUCUCAAAGAACAAGUACACCAUUAGAGUUCGUUUUGGAGGAUUUUGAUGAUGUGCGCUUAGUUACAGACUUAUCUAAAUACGUAUAACUAGGAUGGACAAUAUUUGUAGGAGCCAUACAAUCCAAUUAGGGGAUUUAGUUUGUCAAAGAUGUUUCCACAUAUCCCUAGCGCUGCUCUUCUAGGUUGCCCCCUGCUUCCUAUCUACGGUCUUCAAGUAAAGCGAUUUAAUGAGUCUCUUGCUGCAGAAAUUUCAACUGCCACAAGAAGGCUGCAGACCUGCGGUUCAUCUUGGCUGAGGUGUCAUACAAUCCAGUUAAGGGAUUCCAUUCAUUGAAGAUGUGGCUGUACUUUCGCACAACAAACUCAAGCACAUCUUCUUAUGUUCUUAGAAACUAGAUGAGUUGUUUUGGACUUUCUUUGGUCUACUCCUCUAUGCUUCUUAUUGGGAAAGUUAGUAUGCAAAAGUUAUGCCCAUCUUCUUAAAUUCGGAUGUAACUUUUCGAGUAGAUGAUUUUUCAUAUAAAAAACUUUUUCAUCCGAGUUAGUAUGCAAAAGUUAUGCCCAUUUUUACAAAUUUCAGAGAGAUUUUGCAAAUAAAGUGAAAAUUCAGAUUUGCAAAUUUUCCCAACAAGUAGACCACAUAUCACAUGGGAAACUUAUUUUCUUUUAUUUUUUUUGACAUUUCCAUCAUUUUCUUUUAUUUUUUUAAAACUGAAAAGGCGAUCCACAUGGGGGGGGGUAGAGUUUGAAAAUGGGACCUUUAGUACUGGUUCGUGGCACGAACCGGGACUAAAGGUCUCAACCCCAUUAGUCCCGGUUCAUGCCUCAAACCGGGACUAAAGGUCUAAUCGUUAGUCCCGGUUUGAGGCACGAACCGGGACCAAUGGUUUUGUGCCAGGAGCGAGGCCCAUUGGUCCCGGUUCAUCCCACCAACCGGGACCAAAAGGUCCAGAUGAACCGGGACCAAUGGCCCACGUGGCCCGGCCGGCCCCCUGGGCUCACGAACCGGGACCAAUGCCCCCGUUGGUCCCGGUUCUGGACUGAACCGGGACUAAUGGGCUGACCCGGCCUGGACCAAAGCCCUGUUUUCUACUAGUGAGUCCAAUCUUGUGUUUAUUCCUCCAUGUCGGCAAAGAGUCAGUAGUCAAUCACCAAGCAAAAUUGCGCACAGUGGGGGGUACAUCACAUCUCCAUAUAUAUUGCCAGCAUUUUCUACUACCAUCUGGCGAUGUGCUAGAUGCCUCUACAGUAUUUCUGUGAGCUACUUCAAAAGCCAGCAUAUAUGCUGAUUUGACCGUGAAGACAUCGAGCUUCCCCGGCCCCCAUGCAAUCACAUCCUCACCUAAUCUUGGAGAUGCCCAUAUCUUUAAGAUUUCUUCCACAUCAGCUGAUAAGAAGUACUGCUGAAGAAGUACCAAGUUCCAAGAACCAUUAUCAUUUAGCAAGUCGGAGACAAAACGAAUGCGACAUCUUCCCUGCAGCGACACAGGUUUGUACGAAAAGGGCCUUGGAAUCCAGUUAUCUCUCCCCUUUGUUGGUAGUCAGAGUCACUAGGACAACUAACUGUGUUAGCAUCUAGAGUUGUAACAAGCCACAGUCCGCCUAUCUUGGUUGCACAGCGAUGAUGCUACCAUCUCCUACGACAAAGUACAUGCCUUGCACCGGAAACAGCGCAACCAUAUGACAUCUAUCCGAGUGGGCGACCACGUGGUGACCGGGCAUGAGGCCAUGGCUGAGGCCGCCUACAACCACUUCUCCGAUGUGCUCGGAAGUGCCAUGGAGCAUGACAUCACGCUUGAUCUCCGCGUUUUGCGUGUUCAACACAAUGCUACUCCGUGCGGUGGACCUAGGCCUUCUUCGACGCCUUACAACUCGGCACGCGGCCUCGAGUAUAUCGCUAUACGCGGACGAUGUUGUCAUCUUUUGUCACCCGGAUAGCCACCACAUUACCACCGUGUGAACCAUCCUACACAUAUUCGGGCUUCAUACAAACUUCGCCAAGUGUUCUGCCACCCCGAUCCGGUGCGAUGAUGACAACAACAUGAUGAUCACAUCUGAGAUGCAGUGCCCCAUAGCCCAAUUCCCCAUCACAUACCUCGGUUUGCCUCUCUCUAUCUGCAAGGCCUCCACGACUAGCUUGCUCCCAAUCAUUGACAAGAUCGGCCACAAGCUCUCCACUUGGCAUGCUUCCAUGAUGUCCAACGGGCAACGGCGACUGCCUUGCUCUCGUGCAUCACGUACUUAGUGCUAUCCCGACAUACUUCCUCACCACCUUUGCUCUCAACCAAUCCAUCCUCGUGAAAUUCAACCGCAUCAUCCGCGGAUUCCUUUGGGCGGGAGGCACCGAAGGCAAUGGGGGUCAGUGUCAUGUUAACUGACAGCAAGUUUGCAGGCCAAUCUCUCUUGGCGGUCUUAGCAUCAGGGACAUUCAAAGGACCGGCAUCACCCUCUGUGCAUGGUUGCUUUGGUUACAGUGCACCGACCCCUUGCAACCCUCGAGCCACUUACACAUACCUCACGACCCAGACGUGACUGCCAUCUUCAGCGCAUCUAGGACCUGGGAUCUUGGGUCCGGCGUCACCUGCAGAUUCUGGUCCGACCACUUGAUAGAGGGUAGAUCCGUGGUUGAGAUCCCCCCAGUCCUCGCCUCGUCCCUCGACGCCGACGCAAGACUCGCACCGUUCACGAGGGCCUCCACCUUAGAGCCUGGGUGCAAGAGAUUCAUGGAGCACUCGGACCGACGGCCAUGUUGCAAUAUGUUGAUCUUGAGCGACGUGUGCGCCACAUUGACCAGAUGAGCCGGAUACACUCAAAUGGCGCUGGACCGCCUCCGCUAUGAAAUGUCUAUGAUGGGAGAAUUUAAAUUCUUCUUAGGCCUUCAAAUUCUUCAACAGCGCAAUGGCAUCUUCAUAUUUCAGGAGAAAUACCUCAAGGAUGUAUUGUGGAAAUUCGGCAUGAAAGAUUGCAAAGGCGUCAAAAUCCCUAUGCCCACAAAUGGCCAUCUAUGCACUGAUGAAAAUGGUAUUGACUUUGAUCAAAAGGUAUACCGCUCCAUGAUUGGUUCUUUAUUGUAUUUAUGUGCAUCUAGGCCAGAUAUUAUGCUCAGUGUUUGCAUGUGUGCCCGAUUUCAACCUACACUGAAGGAAUCACACCAUAAGGCUGUGAAGCAUAUUCUUCGUUAUCUAGCUCACACACCAACACUUGGAUAUGGUAUCCCAAGGGCUCGGCUUUUGAUCUCAUUGGGUACUCACUCUGACUAUGCGGGUGAUCCUGUGGACCGCAAGUCAACAUCAGGCACAUGCCAUUUCCUCAGGCGAUCCUUGGUCUGUUGGUCCUCGAAGAAACAGAACUGCGUAUCACUGUCUACUGCUGAAGCUGAGUACAUUGCUGCUGGUUCUUGCUGUUCUCAAUUUCUAUGGAUGAAUCAAACCCUCAAGGACUACUACGUCAAUGUAAAGAAUGUGCCUCUCUACUAUGACAAUGAGAGUGCCAUCAAGAUUGCUCAUAACCCACUUCAGCAGUCGAAGACAAAGCACAUUCAAAUUUGUCAUCAUUUUCUUCGUGAUCAUGUGUUGAAGGGCGACAUUUCUAUUGAGCAUGUGAAGACUGGAGAACGGCUAGCCGGUAUCUUCACAAAGCCUUUGGAUGAGAAGAGAUUUAGCAAGUUGCGGUGUGAGCUAAAUAUCCUAGAAUCUUCGAAUGUCCUUUGAAAAGGACACACAUCCUAACACUUGUGCAAAGUUGAUGACUUAGACGUGCAACACACGAAGAAACGUUUUUCUUCAUUCAAUGAAGAUUAACACUCUAAGUGUGAAGAAAUUAACAAAGAAUUUGAUUCUCAGAGCCCUUCGACAAUUGUACAUGGUGUUUGAAAUCAUCAUUCUUAUACGGUGGGUCACGCCACCACCAAAAGUUGAAAAUCUUGAAUUUGAGUUUUUACUCAUUUUUGAAUUUCCUCAGUUGUUCAAAUUCUUCAACCCAUCCCACCUUAUCUUCUCAUACCCACUCCCCCCAAUUCCCUCUCUAUCUCUCCCGCAACCUCCCUUGCGCGGACGCCGCCAAACCACCACCUCCCCUGUGCCGCCGCGCCGCGACCUCCUCUGCGCCGCCGCGCCGCAACCUCCUCUCUGCGGCCGAGUCUGCUCCCCGGCGAUUCCCGAUCCACAACUGCCCCCAUUGCCCUUGCCUUCCUCUGCGCGCCGCCGCUCUAGGUCGCGUCCACCGCGUUCCACCACCACCAGCACAUCAGUACGGCGGUAGUGCGGCCCCGCUUCCGUUCCUCCAUGGCCGACCCCCUACCUCCCACCUUCUCCCUCCCGCCCCGAUCGACAACCUCCAUCACCGCCCCGGUCGUGUUGCCCCUCCCGACCCCGCGCCGCCGGAUCCGGGCAACCACGCCGGCGUGCCCUUCCACAAGCUUUCCCGUCGUGACCCUACCACGAGCUGCUCCAGCCCGACCCUGCUUCUUUAACAACGGCACGGUGGCAACUCCCCUUAGUUCACUCCUGCACCGGGGUCGCGAGCUCCGUUCACGGGCUCGCUGGAUCUCGUGAUUGGGGCGCUGGCGACGUGCUCUCCUACUCCACCGCGCCCCUCCUCUACUUCAGCUCCUAUGCCUGUGCCUCUCGUGGACUCAUCGGCGCACAGGCCGCUCUGGAUCCACGCUGGUUCGAGGCCCUGACGGCCUCCUCUUCCUGCUAAGUCACCGAGAUCCAUCGGGGUAUCAAGUUGUUUUGUCGGCCCAAUACUCCUUCUACCUUCCCUUGCCGGCGGUCGUGCAACUUCGGUGAACACCGCUACUCGCGCGCGGAUGACGACGGCGCAGUGGCACUGCAGUUCGCUUUGCAGGGGAUCCGUUGAUGCGGCCGUGGAGUUCGGCCCACAGGUGCAUGAAGUUAUCUUGCCCCCUCCCACAGUUUACCCUUCCGCAUGAGCCCCAUGCCAUAGUCCAUUGGGAAGAAGCUCGUGGUGCGGAUGUGCGGAUGCUCAGUGACAGUGCUGGUGUGUUUCAGAUUUUGUUUUUCUGCAAUUUGUAGGCGACGCUGGAGCAUUGCAGUUCAUUGGCUCGGGGCGAGCAGUGGAGAGGACACACGUGCGUGCAGUUCCCUGUCCAUUGAAAAUGUAGAAGCCCAUCUUGCUGCAAUGUAUGUGAGCAUAUGGCCUGCAAGUGAUGCUCUUUUCCCAGAUUGAAAACAUUGCAAUGUGGUUGGCUGGCCAUCGACGUGCACUUCGCUUUGGGGGGCAGUACGUUCUUUGUGGACGCGCACUUCGUUCGGCCCGAGCGGCAUGAAGCUCCGUUUGCGCGCAUGUGUGGCUUGGCUAACUAGUUUGUGCAGUCGCAUGAUACCUUUAUUAUGUGAUGCCUCCCUAGUUGCUGGAGUUCACUUCUUUGUAUUUAUUGAAACAUCAUGUAGUGCACUGUGAAACUCUCUGUUGUUCACUUGUAAAAACAAAUAGCGGUUCCCUUUGUAAAAAAAAGUGCAGCCCCUUAGUGGUUCACCUUGUAGAAAAUGAGAAAGAAAUCCCCAUGGGAGGUUCACUUCUUUUUCUAAUGCAAUUUGUUUUGUUUGUGGGAUGAUUGAAAAAAGAAGUUCACUCCACUUGUUUAGCAGCUCAUACCCCUUUGUAUGAAAUGCAAUUUGUUUCGUGUGUCUCAAAAUCAGUCGACUACCUCAACACGUGCAAUGCGUUUGGUUUUUGGAUGUGGUUCAUUUUUUAGAGUGAUGUUGUUCACUUGUGCCGAACAUGAAAGCGCAAAAAAAAUUAGCAAAACAAUAAAAAUAGUAAUGCGGUUCACUACGAUAUAUGAUGUGGUUCACUUGCUCGCGUCUCUGCGGUCCACUCUUGUUCAUAAAAAUUGAAAAAAACAUCAAAAACUCGUCCGAGAAAAAUUUACAUCCGACAAAGGAAACCAUGAAGUUCACUUGCCUGCCUGAUGCAGUGCGGUUUCGUUCGAUGCAGUGCGGUUUUCUGUCGAAUGACGUUCACUCACCGAUUUGGGUGUCGCAAAAAAUAGUAUCUGCAUUUUCGUAAUUUUAAAAUUGCUUUUAAACCGUAAGGAAUUAGAGAGAGUGUUCUACAUGAAAAAGUUGCGUCUCGUCGAUAUUUUUCCAAUGCCAUAUCAUUUGAAUCAUUUUGACAAGCAGUUUGUAAAAAUUUCACAAAAAACGACCGCUGCCAGUCAUCGUCCGCCACACCAUUCUAAAAAUUAACUUAAAACCGUAGUGAAUCUCGAAACCAAUUCUACAUAUAAAAGUUGCGCCUUGUCCAUAGCUUUCCAACGACGUAUUACACGCCUCAUUUCGAUAAACGGUUCAAAAACUAGAGUGAAAACAGUAUCGAAAGUUGCAAAAAUUUCAAAAAAUGUAAUUUCGCGAUUUAGUAAAUUUGAAACUGCUCUUAAACCGAAAUGAAUUAGAGAAAAUAAUAGAUAUGGAAAAGAUGCGCCUCAAUGAUAUCUUUCCAACGGCGUCUCAUUUGCUUUAUUCUGAUGAGCGGUUUUGAAAAAAUCAAGAAAAUACGCUCGCUGCCACUCGUCAUCCGCAGCACCGUUUUUGAAACUGCUCUUAAACCGCGAGGAUCUCGAAAAGUGUUCAACAUGGCAAAGUUGCGCCUAAUCCAUAGCUUCUCCACGGUAUAUUACACGCGUCAUUCCGAUAAAUGGUUAAAAAAUUAGAGCGAAAAAACUACCAAAAAUACACAGCGUGUAGUUUUUUCGACACGAAGUUCACUCGCCUGAGUACUGCAGCACACUUGGUUCAAACAAUGACGUGCAGUUGCGUUGAGCGUGCACUUCGGAAGUGUUAUCAGAAUAACUAUUCUGUUAAUAUUAGCAUAAUAGACCGACUGUAUAUUAUUCUGUUACGCGUAACAGGAUAUUAUUCUGUUACCCUAUGGUGAAUUCAAGCAGUUGAACUGAUGCUUUCUGUUCCUAUUAAAAAUCGUCUUCUUUAGUUCAAAAGUUUUUGCAAUUUUUUUAUCAAAACAGGGCGUGUAAUAUAUCGCUGGAAAGCUCUUGACAUCUACAUUACAAUCUUGUAAUUUGUUUUUGCAAAAAAUUAUGAUUUACGAGCAGUUUUGAAAAACCCGUUUUUUUUCAAGCCGAAAACGCGAAUCGUAUUUUGGACUUAAUUUUCAAACGGUUUGUCGGAAUUGAGCAAAUGAGAUGGCAUUGGAAAGCUUGUGAAAAUCCGCAUCUUCUAUAUUUCUACUAUUUUUUCAAAUUCUAUAUGAUUUAAAAGUAAUUUGAAAAACGGUGAAAUUCUGGGCGAAAUGUUUUUUCACUAUUUUUUUGCAAACGGUUUGUAGGAUUGACACAAAUGAUAUGGUGUUGGAAAGCUAUGGAAAAUGCGCAAAUUUUGCAUAUAGAAAGUUUUUUCUAAUUCCUUACGAUUUAAAUACGAAUUCAAAUACAGUUAAAAUUGAUUUUGAACGUGUUUUUUAAAAAGUUUGUCGAAAUGGAGAAAAUAAUAUACCAUUGGAUAGCUAUCGAAAAUGCAAAACUUAGUCAUGUUGGACGUUUUCUCUACUUCACAACCAUUUAAGAGUAAUCUUCAAUACGGCAUGACGGAUCCUGCUGUUUUCUCGUCUGAAAAACAGAUUAGUCGUACUGAUAUAUGUGUAUGUUUGUACUGAGCUAUUUUUUGUAGAGUAAUUUUAAGUGGUUCCGAAAAAAUGUUCUUAUACUGAUGCUUGCGUGGUUUUGUACUAAACGUGUUUUCACUAACUAGACUUUGCUCUGUUUUUUCAUGAGACCCAUCAUGCUGUUUUUUCGUGAGAAAAAACAGAGUACUUGUACUGAUCUACAUGUGUGUUUGUACUGAUGUAUUCUUCGAAGAGUAAUUUUGAAAGGUUCCGAAAAAGGAGUACUUGAACUAAUGUCCGUAUGGGGUUGUACUGAGCGUUUUUUCACAGACUAGACUUUACUCUAUUCUUUUUACCGAAAAUUGUUUCAUCAAUUGUUCGCAAAUGAUAGUACGAACUAAGAUAUGUGUUGGUUUGUACUGAGCAUUUGUUUCAUCAUUUGUUCGCAAUUGAUAGUACGAAUGGAGCUUUGUUCAUUUUUAUACUGAGCAUUCUUGUCAGUGCCAGGAUCUCCGGAUUUAUGUUGUUUUGUUCUGCGAACUUCCUCAAAAUUUUAUUGGUAAAUCACACCAUUUUUUUCUUUUGCUAAAUUUUUGUCCUCUGAACUUGUGACGGAUGGAGUUUGUACUGAUAUGAAUCAUUUUGCCGAACCGCCACAAUUUUUUGUGUAUUGAAUCACUAUAUAACUUAGAACCAAAUUGUUUUUCUUAACAUAUAUUUGAAUUGUUUCUAUAUGUACAUUGAAUUGGGGAAGAGUAGCAAAAGUUAUACAUACUUUAUGGAUAGUAAUACAUGAAUUUCUUGGUAAACUGAAGAAUGUACUCUGGACCGUAAUACAUGUCCUCUCGAGUUUGUACUGAUGUGAAUCCUUUUGAACUUGCUCUCGACGGUAAUACAUGCCCUCUCGAGUUUGUAAUGAUGUGAAUCCAUUCGAACUUAUGUGGCUUACAUCAUUGAACGGACUCUAUUCUUCUCACUACCACCAUUGUUCUGUCCAUUUCUUUUCGGACUUGCAUGGCUUACAUCGUUGAACGGGCUUAGGUGGAUAUGUACUAAUGAACUACUGUGAUUUGUAGCUCUCAGGAAAUGGAAUCCUUUCUUUCCCUGUUAUUCUGAAUACCAAACAGCAAAAAAUGAGUUCUCAUAAGCACGAAAAAAUAUAUAUGUACCCCUAAAUUUUGCAGCUAUUUUGUCCUCUUUCAUUUUGAAAAAACAUACAAAAAGCAAAAGCACAAACUAUACAAAAGGUUUUAGACACCAAACCAGUAGAGAAUUAAAAAUAAGCAUCAGGCAGCAACUUGCUAAAGAUAGCACGAGUCAUAUACAUACGCAUUUCAUCCCAUUAUACUUCUCCACCCGCAUGGAAAGUGAGAGAACCUCCCUACAUGCAUAUACAGGCAUCAAACUCCCUCUGUACCUAAACUAUAUUUUUGUUUGAUAUAUAUUGUGAACUCCUCUUGUCGAUGUACAUGAACCUGCUGUGCAGAGAGAUGAAAUGUAGUACAUCAGUCUAGCUUCAUUCAGCUAGAGAGAAACAUGAAAAAAUGUUCAGUUUUUUGGACGGCUUUCCUCUUUUUCUUUGUCCAAUUCCGCGCCACGACUGCCACCAUCCUGCAUGCAAGCUUAAAAUUAAUUGAAGCCACCAAACAUGCACUUUCAUGAGACUUUGCUACUAUAAGUCAGCGAACAUAUCUUUAGUAUUAAACCAAAGGCACACUUAUUAACCAGCACUCUUGUUCAGUUCAGAGCAUCAUCAAUAAGAUAAAGAUACGGAAACAUUAAGCCAAUAUAGAACAACUGGAUUGAUUUGACUCAAAUUUUUACUUUCAAUGCAUUGUAGGCAACAGCCGAUCCAAGUCAGAACUGAUGUGAUUUAUUCCAUUGAACUGAUAUGAAAGUUUAUCUAUACUGUUCUGUUUUUUAACACACACGUUUUGAACUAUUCCCGCUUUUUUCAUUAUGAAUUGAUGACAUAAGACAUGUUGAACUGUUACACAAGAGCAAAAUUCAGAAAUACAUAACAAUGGUGUACUCAAAAUAUGUGCAUUUUAAGGAACAAAACUUUCUGAACCUUCUAUACGAAAAACUUCAACUAUCAGUCCAAAGAGAUUUGAAGUUAAACAAUCAUUUCCCUUACCGAGUGUUAAGGAAAACGAAACCAGAGAUGACCUCGCCGACAGUAGGAGUAGCGAUGGCUGCCAAGGCGACGCGUUGGUACAUGUACUAAACAUCUGCUCAAACCUGUUGUAACAUCUACUUCAAGCUUUUUCUAAAUCAUUGUUGGGAGUAGAGGGUUUUAAAAGAAAAUACAGAGUGCCAAAGAAAGAAAGGAACAACCUAUUUAUCUAAAGGACUGUGAUAUUUGGCACACGUGUGCCAUAUAAGCAAAACUGCCACACCUCUAUUUCUUUCAUUUUAAAGUACCAUACGAUCCCUCGUUCUUUGACCCCGCCUCUUCCCAAAUUACCCCGCAGGCUCGCCUGAGAAACCUGCUUCUCCCGCACAUCUCGGGCGCUUACCCCCGAGAAAACUGCCACUUCUUCACGUCUACCACAUGAUUUCUCCUUAGGACAAAGUUACCAUGAUAUUCAUAUGAAAGUUAUCAGGCCUGUGUUGCAUAACUUACCAUACUAUUUACAUAGAACGUAUCAGGUACUAUGCUUCAACAACUACACCCUUUCAAAGUUACCACUGUGUUUUGUACACAAGUUAUAAGGUCUUUGAUGUGUAAAAUACCGUGGUACUUACACAUAAGUUAUCAGGGUAUAUGUACAUCAACCUCCCCCCGGUCAAAGUUACCAUGGGGGAUUGUACAUGAGUUACCGGGUCUACGGUUCGUAUAUUAUCAUGGUACUAGCACCUAAAAACAUGGGUGUGUUUCGGUAGCUUUUCACAUAGGUCAAAAAUUACCAUGAUGUUUUUGCGUAACUUAUCACGCCUAUAGCACGUGUGCCCCUCGUGACACUAAACAUUAUGUGACUUUCCCGUGGCAUGCCAUGUGUUGUGUUCAUCCAAGAGGCCCACGCGCGAGGCAAGUGUAUGUUUUUAACAACUUAUAUAUUUUCCUUUGGUAAAAAAGUUAUCAUCAUGUUUAUAUUGCAAGUUAUCGGUUAUGCGGUGCUUAUAUUAUCAUGUUAUUUACACAAAAAUUAUUGGGGAUGUUUUGAACAACUUUUUCCCGAGGCAAAAAGUUAUCAUGGUGAUUCUAGGUAACCUAUCAAGCCCGUAGUGCUUAAAAUAUCAUGCUAUUUACAUAAAAUUUAUCAGGGAUAUGCUUCAGCAACAAAUUCCACCCCCCAUGGGUCAAAAAUCUAUCAUGGUGUUUAGUUAUCGCAGUGCAUAUGUUUUCAUACUAUUUACACAUAAAAAUGCCAGGGGAGGGAGGUAUACUACCGUGCUAUUUACAAAGAAGUUACCGGAGUAUCUUAAAAAAAUUGCCUACGGUCAAAGUUACCAUGGUGCUUCUACCUCAGUUAUCAGAUGUGCGCUGUGUAUAUUACCAUCUAUUUACACAUAAACUAUCAGGUAUCUUUUCACAUUUGUUUUCCCCAAUGGUUAAAGUUACCACGAUGUUUGUAUCUAAAUUAUCAGGUCUAUGGCGUGAAUGUUAUCGUACUAUUUACAGAAAUUACCGGAGGGCGGGUUCAACAAAUUUAUUCCCAAUGAUCAAAGUUACCACGAUGCUUGAAACAAAAAGUUGCUAACGUAUUAAAGGCAAAAACAUGUCAAAAACAGUAUUACCCUUAGAAUGUUCAACAAUGAGUAUCAUAGGUGAGGUGGUUAGCUCCCUUUGUUAAUUACCUGCAGACCAGAGAUCAAAUCCUAGUAUAAGCAUUAUUUUUGCUGAAAAUCGAGAAGGCAUGUGGGGCCAUAAAUGACGAUUACAAAAAUUAGAAAGGCACAAGCGGGAGAGAAUUGAUGACAUUUGAUGCGUGUGGCAGUUUCACAAUCUGCCACACGGUUGCCAUAUACAUAUUUCGUUAUCUAAAUAGUGUGUGGAAUUGUUUACACAGAUGAACAAAACAUUACUUGAAGUAGAGGUUCUGCCAAAAGAAAGAAAGAGCAUCUUGCAGGUUCAAGUUUGAGUAGUUGAGCCAGACAAUUUAUCGUAGGCGUUGUAUGUAAUAAUAAUUUAAUUAUUUUCAUAGGAGUACGACUCAUAGUAUCGGCAUGGAGGUCGUGAACAAAAGCAGAAGUAUCCUUAAUUUUUUAUUAGUGAUUGUAAUUUUCCUUAUAAAGAACAUACUACUCUCGUGUAAACCCAUCCCUCUACAUAUGUACUGUCAGUUUUUUGCAAAUCGAACAAAUUGCGUAUGUAGCAAGUGCUAGUAUCUUGAAAUGCAGUUAUGCGUAUGCCCCUAAGAGUAGGUGAAUAGAAAACUCGAACCAAAAAUGGCUUUCUCCUAAUAGUAAUCGUGCUAGAACUCAUUCAAAGCUGAAGUGAACUAUAAUUAUAACCAGCCUUUGUCAAUAGAAGUCCUACUGAUCACAAAUUCCUCUAAUUUCCUCCAGACUCAAGAUCAAGAUGGUGGACAGUGCACGGAUAUUACAAAAUUAACAAUUCACAAUACGAAUUAAAUAUCACAAAUUGCAAGGUACAAGUUUUGAGCACAUACAAUCUUUCAUUGGUAGGCAACACUACAACUUUGGAGGUCAACACAUUAGGCAAACUCUUUGGAAUUAAGAUAGUGAAAAGUAAAUGUAUGCGAAAGCAAGCUUCAGUUCAGUAAACCAUCAAGCCCAGAUUGCUGCACUCCGAAUUUCCUUUAGACUUGUACGCUACCUUCAGGUCAGCAAGCUUUAUGUUCAGCAAGUGUGUAACAAAACAAGAAUUGAACUGGAAUAGAAUUUGAAAUUUGAACUGAAAUACAAUACGAAAACUAAACUGAGUGUACUUUCAGAUUUUCACAUGGGCAUCAGUGCAUGAAGCACCAAUGAAAUUGAACUGAAACAAACUUCAGUUCAACAAACUUAUAUGAAGUUAUAUGAAGCAUGCUUGAAUGCGUUGACCCGAAGCAUGCUUGUAGGAGAGUAGUGGCACUGGAAGCGAGCCUUUUGCUGAACUUAUAUGAAGUUAUAUGAACUUGUCUAACUUAUAUGGAACUUAUAUGAAGCCUUUUGCUGAACUUAUAUGAAGUUGACCAGACAAGAUGAUACCGAGGCGCAUCAGAAUAUAGGAGAGUGGUGAUGCAAGUCAGUCACCGGCUGGGUAAUGAAGCGGGUGGUAUGCGGCAUGGAGACAACCAGAAAACGGGACAUCCAGGGGUAGGGAGCAUCGUCGCUGAAGAUCAGAGAGUGUGGAGCGCAGGCGUGCAGUGUCCCCCGGCCGGCACCGGAGACGAAGGAGAUCGGGGAUAGUGCACUUUUUUCGUCAGCCUACAAGAUGCUCAAGGACCAGGACAACAUGUAGUUUCAGAAUUACAGAUUGUGGUCAGCUAUAGGAUGUUUCUGGGACCAUGUUUUAGCUACGAGAGAGCAACAACAUCACAUCAUGAGAGAGAGGAUGCAACAUCAAAAAUUCAGGAGAAAGAUCAGAGCAGAGCAGAAGUAAAUAUGUUUUGAGGAGAUGAACUGACCAGGAUUUAAAUGAACUCUCACUAGCAGUAAUUUUUGUACUUCGCAUGUAGUACUACAUGGACUUGCUGUAAAAUACAUUGACCAUGUAGUAAUUUUGAAGUUAAUUAUCACUACUGCAGAACCGGGCAAUAGCACCGGUUCGUAAGGCCCUUUGUGCCGGUUUCGGAAUCGGCACUAACAUUUCGGCACUAAAGCCCCCCCCCCCUUUAGCACCGGUUCAGCAUGAACCGGUGCUAAAGGGCAACCACGUGGCACGAGCCAGCUCCGGGGGCCGAGAGCCCUUUAGUACCGGUUGGUAACACCAAUCGGUACUAAAAUGUUUGGGGGGGUUUUGGUUUUAUGAUUUCUUUUUCAUUUAAUUUUGUGUUUUCCAUUUUAAUUCUUUUUCGUUUGCUGGUAUUUUACGGUACUACACAUUGUACACGUUAUGCAUAUAUAUAUAUAUAGAAUUUCUAGUAGAACCAAUCAUAUAUAUAUCAUCAAUGUCUCACAAACCACCAUAUUAAUUUACACAUACACACAUGUAUAGCUAUAUACAAUUUCUCCUACAUAUGCAUGUUGCCUUCGGAGCCAGUUGCAUUAGCCUAAUUGGUGCCUUCGGAGCACGAUGACAAUUGGAAGUGGUUCAUGACCUGUUCGAUGGGGGCGGUAGCGGGUAAUAGUAUUCUCCCUUCGGAUUUAUGACCUGGUCGAGCAAAAAUCCCGCUAUUUCCUCUUGAAGUGCUUCUACGCGCUCCAUUUCUAGGAGCUUGUCCCGCACCUCUUUGAACUGUUAAGAAGGAGAUCGAUAUGCAUGUGUAUUAGUUGUGUGACUAGAUAUCGAUAAUGGUGUAAAAAUUAUGAAUAGUGUUCUAACAAGAGUACCCAUUCCUGUCUUUGAGAUCUGCUCCUUUCGGAUGCCAUCAUGCGAAUGUUCUCGCAAAUGCAGAAUGCACACAGAUUAGUCCCCUACGCCUGCUUCAGGGCCUUUAUUACGAGAAUGGAAUUUAAUUUGAUCAGAUAAUAAUUAAUCAAGCAUGAUAAUUAAUGAGAUGGCAACUAGCUAGCUAGGUAGUACUACUUAAUUUGAUCGAAUACUACAGAAGAAUCUAGGACACUCGCGGUUCCUAUGGCGCGGGCGGUGGACACCCAAAGAGAAGGAACCCUCACAGGAUCAUAGCUGAAGUGAGAUCCCUGAAGAAACUGCCAGGUAUUGGAGAACCUGACGCCCUCUAACGCAACCAUGUAGCGAUGGACGUGCUCGUCCUCCUCCCUGACACGACAACGUACCACCUCCGGCAGGGCUGGUUCCCUCCGCACCGAAACUGGCCCACGCGAACGCAACCAAACGAGAUCAGGGUCGACGACGGGACCCGGGGCCGGGUUCCUCAUCAAGCGGCGCGCCCCUCCAAGCAGCACCUCCCAGUGCCAGCCCGGCGGAGCCCAGUCCCGGACAUGGGUCAGCUGGACGUCGUCGCGGACGUAUCGACGGCGAGGAUGCGGGCCGGGCAUCGUCGACAACAAAUACUAGCUAUAUGCCCGCAAAAAGUAACAUUUUUUUAAUGAUUGGAUUUUGAUAACUAAAAUUUCUAACAUUCUAUAACAUUUCUAACAAUGCUAUAUAUAACUAACAUUUCUAUAACAUUUCUAAUAUUUCUAUAACUAAAAAAAGAAAAAUUUCUAACUUUUUUAUAACUAUUUCUAUAACUAAAAAACAGAAAAAAUUCUAACAAUUCUAACUUUUUUAUAACUAUUUCUAUAACUAAAAAACAGAAAAAUUUCUAAUAAUUCUAACUUUUUUAUAACUAUUUCUAUAACUGAAAAACAGAAAAAAUUCUAACAAUUCUGACAAUUCUAACAAUUCUAACAUUUCUAACAUUUCUAACUAUUGUAACAAUUCUAACAUUUCUAACUAUUUCUAAAAAACAGAAAAAUGUCUAACUAUUUCUGAAAAACAGAAAAAUCUAUAACUAAAAAUGUAUGUGUGUGUGUGCGNNNNNNNNNNNNNNNNNNNNNNNNNNNNNNNNNNNNNNNNNNNNNNNNNNNNNNNNNNNNNNNNNNNNNNNNNNNNNNNNNNNNNNNNNNNNNNNNNNNNNNNNNNNNNNNNNNNNNNNNNNNNNNNNNNNNNNNNNNNNNNNNNNNNNNNNNNNNNNNNNNNNNNNNNNNNNNNNNNNNNNNNNNNNNNNNNNNNNNNNNNNNNNNNNNNNNNNNNNNNNNNNNNNNNNNNNNNNNNNNNNNNNNNNNNNNNNNNNNNNNNNNNNNNNNNNNNNNNNNNNNNNNNNNNNNNNNNNNNNNNNNNNNNNNNNNNNNNNNNNNNNNNNNNNNNNNNNNNNNNNNNNNNNNNNNNNNNNNNNNNNNNNNNNNNNNNNNNNNNNNNNNNNNNNNNNNNNNNNNNNNNNNNNNNNNNNNNNNNNNNNNNNNNNNNNNNNNNNNNNNNNNNNNNNNNNNNNNNNNNNNNNNNNNNNNNNNNNNNNNNNNNNNNNNNNNNNNNNNNNNNNNNNNNNNNNNNNNNNNNNNNNNNNNNNNNNNNNNNCGAGAGGCGACGGGGGGCGCGCGGCGACGGGGACGGCGACGGGCGCGGCGACGACGGGAACGGGGACGUACGGGCCGGGGCGGCGAUGACGACGGGGACGGUGACGACGCGGCCGGGACGGGGCGGCGGUGACGACGGGGACGGGACGACGGAGCGGCGACGACGGGGACGGGGCGGCGACGGGGGCGGCGACGGGCCGGGGCGGCGACGAGGGAUAUGGAGACGGCAGGGGCGGCGUGCGAUGGUGCAGAGGAGAAGAAGCAGACGGAGAGAUGAGAAACUGACGAAAUUUUGAAGUGUUUUCUUAUAUAGAACCCACCUUUAGUACCGGUUGGAGCCACCAACCGCUACUAAAGGUCUGUUUUGGCUAGCCCAAGCGGCGGGAAGCGACCCCCUUUAGUACCGGUUGGUGGCUCCAACCGGUACUAAAGGCCCCCCCUUUAGUACCGGUUGGUUCCACGACCCGGUACUAAAGGGUGUGCACUGCCAGGCGAGGGGCACAAAAGUUUAGUCCCACCUCGCUAGCCGAGGGGCACUCGCACCUGCUUAUAAGUCCCGCCGUCGCUGCUGUCUCGAGCUCCUCUCUUAAGCAGGCCUACUGGGCCUACCUCUUCUGCGAUGCCCUGUUGGGCCUACUGGGCUAGCGGGCCUGCAUCCUGGUCCAACUUGAAUUUGGGUUUCUAGUCGUAUGCAGGCCGCUGUGGCCCAGUAGGUGGGCUUUCUUUUCUUAUUUUUUUGCUUUAUUUAUUUUUGUGAAUAACUUAACUUUGAAAAUAUAUUUUUCAGUGAUUCUUUUUUCUUAUGUUUAAUAUUAGUGUGUUUUAUCAUUAUAUUCAAUUUGGUAAUGCUUAGGUUAUUUAAAAAAUGAAAUGCCUUUGUAACGGAUGAGUUUUCGUCCGAAACCCUGAUACUUCGAAACAGAUUGUCCAUUUUGUACACGAAGUGCAUCCAGUUUUUGCGGUAACCCUCUCUACUUUUUUGCACAUGCUAUGUGGGUGAAAUUAUGAUACCAUGCCAACUUUCAUCCUUUUCUGAGUUCAUUUGAAAUGCUUUUCAAUUUCAGGGUCAUUUAGCUGAAAAAAUCAGUAAAUGCAUGAAAGAAUUUGCUUGCACAUAAAAGUUCUUCACGUUUCAAAUGCCAAAACACAUAACUAGCUACCCUAACUAUUACAGAGAUUGCCUCCUGGGUGUGAAACACAGAAGAAAGUGAUGAUAGUUAAGCCGAUCACAUCCCAGAUCUUUGGGUGUGAAACUUUUUCUUCGCGUGUGUCCUUUUGCAUCGUAGCCAUGGAAAAUCUUCAUCAUUUAACGGGAUGCUCGGGUCAAUAUUCACUGUGAAUGGAGCAAUCUCAUCAAACUUUUCAUAAUCUUCUGACUUGUCUGUCUUGUCAUCCACUCCCACGAUGUUUCUCUUCCCAUAAAGAACUAUGUGCCUCUUUGGCUCAUCGUACGAUGCAUUCGCUUCCUUAUCUUUUCUUUUUCUUGGCUUGAUAGACAUGUCCUUCACAUAGAAAACUUGUGCCACAUCAUUGGCUAGGACGAAUGGUUCGUCUGCAUACGCAAGAUUGUUGAGAUCCACUGUUGUCAUUCCGUACUGCGGGUCUUCCGUUACCCCGCCUCGUGUCAUAUUGACCCAUUUGCACCGAAACAAAGGGACCUUCAAACCACGUCGAUAGUCAAGUUCCCAUAUGUCCUGUAUAUAACCAUAAUAUGUUUCCUUUCCCGUCUUGGUUUCUGCAUCAAAGCGGACACCACUGUUUUGGUUGGUGCUCUUCUUAUCUUGGGCGGUCGUGUAAAAUGUAUUCAUUUAUCUCGUACCCUUUGAAAGUCAUUAUAUUCGAAGAUGGUAACUGGGACAGCAAGUACAGGUCAUCUUCAAUAGAGGUGUCAUGCAUGGUACGUGCUUGCAACCAGCUGGCGAAACUCCUGGUUUGUUCACGUGUAAUCCAGUCAUCAGACCGCUUCGGGUGUUUGGAGCAUAGCAAAUUCUUGUGUUCAUCCAUAUACGGAGCCACCAAGGCGGAAUUCUGUAGAACUGUGUAGUGUGCUUCAGUGAGAGAAUGUCCGUCCAUACAUAUUAUUUGUUCCCCUCCUAGCGUGCCUUUUCCAUCUAGUCUGCCCUUAUGCCGCGAUUCAGGAACACCAAUCGGCUUAAGGUCAGGAAUAAAGUCAAUACAAAACUCAAUGACCUCCUCAUUUUGACGGCCCUUAGAGAUGCUUCCUUCUGGCCUAGCACGGUUAUGAACAUAUUUCUUUAAGACUCCCAUGAACCUCUCAAAGGGGAACAUAUUGUGUAUAAAUACAGGACCCAAAACGUUAAUCUCUUCGCAUAGGUGAACUAGGACGUGCGUCAUGAUGUUGAAGAAGGAUGGUGAGAACACCAACUCGAAACUGACAAGACAUUGCACCAAAUCAUUCUGUAACCUUGGUAUGAUUUCUGGAUCGAUUACCUUCUGAGAGAUUGCAUUGAGAAAUGCACAUAGCUUCACAAUGGCUAAUCGAACAUUUUCCGGUAGAAGCCCCCUCAAUGCAACCGGAAGCAGUUGCGUCAUAAUCACGUGGCAAUCAUGAGACUUUAGGUUCUGGAACUUUUUCUCUGCCAUGUUUAUUAUUCCCUUUAUAUUUGACGAGAAGCCAGACGGUACCUUAAUACUAAACCCGGGCAUGGGCAGCCCGGCCCAACGACCCGGCCCGAGCCCGGCCCGAAAAACUCGGGCCGGGCCGGGCCGGGCUUGACAUUCGGGCCGGGCUCGGGCUUUGUUUUUCAGCCCGAAAGAUAGUUCGGGCCGGGCUCGGGCUUUAAUUUUUCCGUAUUUCGGGCCGGGCUUUCGGGCUUCGGGCCGGGCUUGCACGUGCGCGUACUAAAAAACAACAUUCGGGCCGGGCUUUCGGGCUUCGGGCUUGAUUUCGGGCCGGGCUCGGGCUUGAAAAUGUGGAGUAUUUCGGGCUUCGGGCCGGGCUUGGGCUUGAGAAAUGAAGGUCGGGCUUUUACAAGCUCGGCCCGAAACCCGGCCCGGCCCGACGUUUGCCCAGGUUUACUUAAUACUGAGCAGGCAUUCAAAGAAGAUUUCCUUCUCUUCUUUGGUAAGAGCGUAGCUUGCAUGACCCUGAUGUAUGCCGUCUUUUUCGUGCAUACGUUGCUGGUCCUCCCGUGCCUCAGGUGUAUCUUUUGUCUUCCCAUACACGCCCAAGAAGCCAAGCAGGGUCACACAAAGAUUCUUCGUCACGUGCAUCACGUCGAUUGCGGAGCGGACCUCAAGGUCUUUCCAAUAGGGCAGGUCCCAAAAUAUAGAUUUCUUCUUCCACAUGGGUGCGCGUCCGUCAGCGUCAUUCGGAACAGAUUGUCCACCAGGACCCUUUCCAAAGACCACCUUCAAAUCCUUGACCAUAUCAUGUACAUCAGCACCAGUACGAUGGCGAGGCUUCGUCUGGUGAUCCGCCUCACCUUUGAAAUGCUUGCCUUUCUUUCUUACGGGAUGCCUGCUCGGAAGAAAUCGACGAUGUCCCAGGUACACAUUCUUAUUAGCCAAAUAUAUACUGUCGGUAUCGUCCAAACAGUGCGUGCAUGCACGGUAUCCCUUGUUUGUCUGUCCUGAAAGGUUACUGGGAGCAGGCCAAUCAUUGAUGGUCACGAACAGCAACGCCUUUAGGUCAAAUUCUUCCCCCAUGUGCUCAUCCCACGCACGUACACCUGUUCCAUUCUACAGUUGUAAGAGUUCUUCAACUAAUGGCCUUAGGUACACAUCAAUGUCGUUGCCGGGUUGCUUAGGGCCUUGGAUGAGCACUGACAUCAUAAUGAACUUUCGCUUCAUGCACAACCAAGGAGGAAGGUUAUACAAACAUAGAGUCACAGGCCAGGUGCUAUGGUUGCUGCUCUGCUCCCCAAAAGUAUUAAUGCCAUCUGCGCUUAGACCAAACCAUACGCUCCUUGCAUCAUCUGCAAACUCCUUCCCGUACUUUCUUUCGAUUUUUCUCCACUGUGACCCGUCAGCGGGUACUCUCAACUUUCCGUCUUUCUUACGGUCUUCUCUGUGCCAUCGCAUCGCCUUGGCAUGCUCUUUGUUUUGGAACGAACGUUUCAACCGUGGUAUUAUAGGAGCAUACCACAUCACCUUGGCAGGAAUCUUCUUCCUGGGGCGCCGGCCCUCGACAUCACCAGGGUCAUCGCGGCUGAUCUUAUAGCGCAAUGCACCACAUACCGGGCAAGCGUUCAAAUCCUCGUACUCACCGCGGUAGAGGAUGCAAUCAUUAGGGCAUGCAUGUAUCUUCUGCACCUCUAACCCUAGAGGGCAGACAACCUUCUUUGCUUCGUACGUACUCUCGGGCAAUUCGUUGUCCUUUGGAAGCAUAUCCUUUAUCAUUACCAGCAACUUUCCAAAUCCCUUGUCAGAUACACCAUUCUCUGCCUUCCAUUGCAGCAAUUCCAGUGUGGUGCCCAGCUUUUUCUUGUCACCUACGCAAUUCGGGUACAACAAUUUUUUGUGAUCCUCUAACAUGCGCUGCAACUUCUUCUUCUCCAAAUCACUUGCGCAGUUUCUCUUUGCAUCGGCAAUGGCCCGACCUAGAUCAUCAACGGGCUCAUCUGAUGCCUCUUCUUCAGCUUCUUCCCGCAUUGCCGGCUCAGCUUCUUCCCGCAUUACCGGCUCAGCUUCUUCCCCCAUUGUUGUAUCAUCAUAUUCAGGGAACCCAUGGCCAGGAUAGCUGUCGUCGUCCUCUUCUUAUUCAUUGUCUUCCAUCAUAACCCCUAUUUCUCCGUGCUUGGUCCAAACAUUGUAAUGGGGCAUGAAACCGGACUUAAACAGGUGGACGUGAAUGGUUCUUGACGUAGAGUAAUUGUGACCAUUCUUACAGCGAGCACAUGGACAAGGCAUAAAACCAUCCGCCUGCUUGUUUGCCUCAGCCGCAAGCAGAAAAGUAUGCACGCCCUCAACGAACUGGGGAGAGCAUCGGUCAUCGUACAUCCAUUGCCGGCUCAUCUUCAUUACACAACACCGAAUAGACCAAAUUAAUACAAGUUCAUACAUAAAGUUCAUACAACACUUAAAUGCAACAAACAAAUAACUCUCUAGCUAAAGCAUUUAAAUGCAACAACAAAUACGAUCAAGAUCGCAACUAAGGUAACAAUGGAUCCAACAGCAUAAUGAUACCAAGCCUCACUAUCGAUGGCAUAUUUUCUAAUCUUUCUAAUCUUCAAGCGCAUUUUCUCCAUCUUCAUCUCGUGAUCAUCGACGACAUCGGCAACAUGCAACUCCAAUUCCAUCUUCUCCCCCUCAAUUCUUUCAAUUUUUCUUUCAAGUACUCGUUUUCUCUUUCAACUAAAUUUAACCUCUCGGCAAUAGGGUCGGUUGGAAUUUACGGUUCACAUACCUCCUAGAAAAAAUUUCUAUGUCAACUUGAUGGGCAUAAUUUGUCAUAAACACAAAAUGCAACUAGUUUUAAAAGAGAAUAUACAUACCACACCCGAAUCAUAACAAGGACUAGGGCCGACGGGGACGGAUAUCAAAACCAUAGCACUAUAUGUAUAACAAACAACGUACGGGUAAGAUAAUUAUACGAGUAACUAUAUAUCCAAAUCACACAAACAUCAAUUUUUAUAUAAAAUUUCAUGAACUAGAGGCUCACCACAAGGUGGUGCCGGCGACGGGACGGUGCGGGCGAUCGACGGUGGCUACGAUGGAGAUUUAGAAGGCACUAAGUAAACCACACCUACAUAUGCAAACUAAGUGUUAUUUUUGACCUCAAAUUGCAUAUAAAUCAAAUACUAGCACAUAUAUAUAUAUAUCCUCCCAAAUUACUAAAAUCACAAAUUAAUCACUAUAUAAAGCAUUGCAAGAGCUAAUCUAGCAAUGAGAGAUGAAAGGACAAAGUUGCUAACCUUUGUGAUCAUUUGAAUGGAUGGGGGCCUUCAAAUCUUGACAAAUUUUGGGCAAAAUGUGUGAUGAGCUCGAGAGGAAGAGGGGAAGAACAGAGAGGAGAGGGGAAAGGGGAAUAAUAGAGUGAGCUUGGGUGGACGAAGGGUCUAUGUAGGACGACCUUUAGUACCGGUUCGUGCCAAGAACCGGUACUAAAGGGGCUGGAGGGGCACCUGUCUGACAACAUCCUGCCACCACUCUCAUUAGUACCGGUUCGUUGCACGAAGCAGUGCUAAAGGUUCGCCACGAACCGGUACUAAUGAAAGCGGCCCGGCUAGCCGUUGGAACCGGCACUAAUGUAUACAUUAGUGCUGGCUCAAAUACAAACCGGCACUAAUGUGCUUCACGUUUGACCCUUUUUCUACUAGUGUAUAUGAUCAUCUCAAAGAGCUCAAGUUGUACUGAAAGCUCAAGUUGGACUAAAACUCACUCGAUAACUGAAAAUCCUAGGGCGAGGGGUGGGAUCCAGGGUGCUGCUAGCAAUGAACGGCCUGGGGUGGUGGCGUUGAACGGCCUGGAGUGGUGGCUGUGAACAGCCAGGGUGCUCCGGUGGCAGAGCCCCACCGGAGAUGGUGAUGCAAGCAGGAGGUCGGGAAGCAGUGGUGCCGGUGGUCGGGGUCGUCCAAUGCACAUGGCACACCAGUACAGGAAGUUGAUUCAUCACCCAUCCAUAGUUUUUUUCCUUUUUGGAAUCCAUUGAACUGAAAAAAGCUACAUGUGAGCUGAAAGUAUGAAAAUAACAUAUCUUUGAAAGAAUAAAGAACUAGCUUUAACAUAUCUAUGAAAGAAUACACCUCCGAGGAACUAGCUUUGAACAUAUCUCUGAAAGAAUAGAGAGCAUGCAAAGUUCAAGGAAAGAAUAAGCAAAAUGGCACACUAGUACGCAGUAGUACGAGUCCAGUCAUGUACGUGCUAGUAUUAGGUUUGAAUAGUAGCUAGAAUUGAAGUUCAGGUAACCAUGGCACACACAUCAUACAGUUUCAAUCAUGUAUGCACACACUGUAAUAGUAGCUGCAAUUAAAGUUCAAAUAACCACGGCACCCAUAACAGAACAAGAAUCAGUGUAGCAGCUAGGCAAGCAAGCUUCAUCAGCAUGAAUACACAUCAGCGGCAAGCUAGAACACGCUAGUAGGCUGUAGAAGUCUCCUUGUAAUUUUUCAAACAGAAGUGCUUUAGUUCAGUUCAGUAGUAAGGCAUGGAAAAAGAAAAGCAAUGGAAUAAACUAUAACUGAGCCAAAUAUGUAAUUUCAACAAACUAGACCUCAUUGCUUGACUUCAGUAGUAAUACACGAUCAUCAGUUCAAUAUAAACAUACUGAUGUUAACAUCAUCGUACAUCCAUUGCCGGUUCAUCUGCGUGCAUUAUAUAUAAUUAAGUGUGUCAAAAACCAUUACAGAACAGCAUGAAUAUAGAAGACCAAAUUAAUAGGAGUUCAUCAUCACAUUAAAACCAAAGUACAAUAGUGAUCAAAUGUUAUUACUGAAAAAAUAAAUACAUAAAGUUCAUACAUAUAUAUUUCUCAUUGAAAAACAUAUAUAUAGCUCUCUAGAGCAUCUAAUUAAACCAUACAUUGAAACAAUGCAAAAACAUUUCAAUGCAACAACAAAUGCGAUCAUAAUCGCAACUAAGGUAACAAUUGAUCCAACGGCAUAAUGAUGUCAAGCCUCGGUAUGAAUGGCAUAUUUUCUGAUCUUUCUAAUCUUCAAGCGCAUUGCAUCCAUCUUGAUCUUGUGAUCAUUGACGACAUCCGCAACAUGCAACUCAAAUCCCAUCUUCUCCUCCUUAAUUCUUUUCAAUUUUUUCUUCAGGUAAUUGUUUUCUUCUUCAACUAAAUUUAACCUCUCAACAAUAGGGUCGGUUGGUAUUUCCGGUUCACAUACCUCCUUGAUAAAAACAUCUAUGUCACGUUGGUCGGCAUAAUUUUCAUACACACUAAAUGAACAAAAUAGUUAUAAAAUAUAAUAUAUACCACAUCCGAAUCAUAGACAGGACGAGGGCCGACGGAGGCGGAUACCAAAACCAUCGCACUAUAUAAUAACAAAAAAUAAUAAAAGUAAGAAAAUUAUACAAGUAUCUAUCUAAAUCAUACAAGUAAGAACUUUUUUCUUUUAGAAGAUAAGAACAAGAGGCUCACCACGGUGGUGCCGACGACGAGAUUAGCACGGGCGAUCGACGGCGGUGAGGACGGGGACGGGACAGGAUGGACCGCCAAACCUAGACAAAUCUUAAGGAAAAUGGAGUUUGGACAAGGAGCUUCGAGAGGAGAAAGCUUAAGUAUGUCUCGGGCAUUUCACCGAACACCUCAUGUGCAUAGGAGGUGAGCUAGAGCACCACAAAGCUCUCCCACGGCCGGCCAAAAAAUAGAGCAAUGCACUGCUCUGCUCGCGGGCAGGGGGAUAUAUAGGCCUCUCUUUAGUCCCGAUUUGUGGCUAGAACCGGGACUAAAGGACCCCAUUUGGUCCCAGUUCCAACCACCAACCAGGAUUAAAGUUUGUGGGCCAGGACCGAGGCCCAUUGGUCCUGGUUCGUGUCUGGAAGCGGGACCAAAGGGGUCAGACGAAUCGGGACCAAUGGCCCCCGAGGCCCGGCCGGCGCCCUGGCUUUACGAACCGGGAUUGAUGCACCCAUUAGUCCCGGUUCAUAGGGAAUCCGGGAUUAAUGCCCUUUUUAGACCUGGACCAAAGCCCUAUUUUCUACUAGUGUUGUAGGCCUCGCUCACAUGAAGUAAGAACGGUCGGUGACGAUGCCUCAUAAAGUCCAUGUGGUGCAAUCAUAGUUGGUGGUGCAGGGGAAGAAGUAACCUUCUUUGAUGGGGAUUCCAUCACACGCUUGUUCGUCAUGUAGACGCGUCCUCUUAAUUUCUGUUCAGCUUUACAGGCAAGAUGAAACAAAUGAUCGAUAGAAUAUAGUCUUCAUGCAUUAUUAUGUCUUGUAUAUCAUGUAUAUCAUGCAUUAAUCUAAGCCCAGAUACUGAAUCAAGCGAGAGGGAACUAACGAAAAUAUAAUAGCUCCAAGUAGCUAGAUAUAAGUGAGGUAUGAACAUAGUGUAUGGCAACCAAGAGCAGACAAAAAAAUCCAACACUUAUCACUUAUAUGAACAGAGCAGGCUGAACAGCAAAAGAGAUUGUUCAAAAGAUGCUAGGUGGCCAAAACUUUGCAUCAACUUUUUUUUUAUUCUUUUUUCUGAAUUUUUUUUUUCAACUUUCAGGCCGGCCGCUAGUAGAAGUCACGUACACAAAUAUCUGACCAAAUAGGUAUGAAGGGGUGGCCGGGGCACGUCCGGUGUAGCCCAUCGGCGCUGUCCAGCGGUAAAAGAUCUCAUGCCAUUGCUGAAAUUCACGUCCCCCACCCAGGGCAUUUUGGUCAUUUCGCAUAUGUGCCCUUUUCCGAUUCUCUGCCUCCUCCCCCAAUGAGUACCUCCCUCAUUUUUCUCUCCCUCACAUCUCUCUCGAGAGAGAGCCGCCGCUGCCAGUCAUCCUCCCCGUCCGCCGCCGCCGCCGCCAACCAUCCGCAGCCGCGCCACCAUCCCCUCCCCGUUCCACUCCCAUAACUGAGCCAGCCAUGGCCGGGAAGAAGUGCAAGUCCUCUUCCUUCCUCCCUCACCCCUGAUCUGAAUCCUCUCCCGAAACCCCAGCUAGCUGCAUGCAUCCCAUAUGGCGCCGCCCAGCUCGCAGCCCUCGGCCGCCGAGCCAUCGCGAGGCUCCUCGCGCAAGCGCACGACCUCCUCAAAGGCUGCGCCCGAGGCCGACCUGGAGUUCACCGUCACCAAGGAAAGGUAAGGGGAGGGGAGGGGAUGGAAGGGAUCGAGCGACCAGGUGAGGCAGCGCCCAGAUCCACGGGGCCAUCGACACUUCAUCAUCGACCUCAUCCGCGACCGUCCUCGAGGUCGGCCAUGGUGGUCUGGCCCGGCAACAGCCAUGGAAGGAGACGCCCGAAUCCCUGGCCCUCCAAGUACGCGCCUGCUGCAGGCCAUCUCCGGCGAGCUCAUCCACAGAUCUCCAACUAUGGUGCGUGCGCAUGAUACCUAAACCCCUUGUCUUGUCAGUUUCUUCAUCUCCCUUCCUUGUGAUUCCUUGGUUUGUUUUGUGCGCAGUUGCUCCGAUCUGGAAGAGGUGGUGGAGCUUUUGUUGUUGCUGCUGCAGGUGGACGAGGCACCACCCCCUCUUUCUACUUCUGGACACAACCUGGUGGUGAUUGCUAAUUUCAGUGUUAAAAAAUUCAGUUCAAUUCAGUCAUGUUCUUUUCCUUUUGUGGGGAAAUUCAGUCACAUUCAAUGUUCAACUUUUAGAGUUAACAAACUGUUGUUAUGACCACUGUGGUUUAGAUGUUCAGAAAUUCAGACAAGUGGUAUGAUGAAAUGAGCCACCUUUUAACCCCCUAGUAAACCUACCGUGAACGUUUAGAGAGCCAAUGCAGGGAGGUGUGGACAUUUUACCAUGUUCAUAGGAAGAAAUCAACAUAAAAUACACAGCUUGUAGAUGAUUCGUCAACCACCAUCAAACACGACUUGUAACUUUCUGGACUAAACUGAACCGUGCAAUUGACUCAAAAUAAAACUAAACCGUGCAAUUGACUCAAAAAUAAAUAGUAAAUAUACUUUGGUUGUGUCUGCAGAAUUGCAUUAUGGAAAGAUGUGUGUGAGGUUACCCCAUCGCCACUGGUUCCAACUUUGUCCAUCAUGUCGCUCUGAUGAGAAGACCUCGUCCAUGUUUCAUUAAUAGGGCAGAGUGCUGCUGAAGUAUCUAUGUUGAACAAUUAUAACAGUACCAAGUAAGUUUGCUCCAAUUGCAUUUGAUGCAGAAGGCACAACACCGCCAUCAUGCGUCAGGUUCAGUAGAAGGCACGACACCGCCACGCUCUCCUCCACUACAACGCCACGCACCCGGUAAUUAAACAUGCUUUCUCUUCAUUCAAGUAGUAAGAGNNNNNNNNNNNNNNNNNNNNNNNNNNNNNNNNNNNNNNNNNNNNNNNNNNNNNNNNNNNNNNNNNNNNNNNNNNNNNNNNNNNNNNNNNNNNNNNNNNNNNNNNNNNNNNNNNNNNNNNNNNNNNNNNNNNNNNNNNNNNNNNNNNNNNNNNNNNNNNNNNNNNNNNNNNNNNNNNNNNNNNNNNNNNNNNNNNNNNNNNNNNNNNNNNNNNNNNNNNNNNNNNNNNNNNNNNNNNNNNNNNNNNNNNNNNNNNNNNNNNNNNNNNNNNNNNNNNNNNNNNNNNNNNNNNNNNNNNNNNNNNNNNNNNNNNNNNNNNNNNNNNNNNNNNNNNNNNNNNNNNNNNNNNNNNNNNNNNNNNNNNNNNNNNNNNNNNNNNNNNNNNNNNNNNNNNNNNNNNNNNNNNNNNNNNNNNNNNNNNNNNNNNNNNNNNNNNNNNNNNNNNNNNNNNNNNNNNNNNNNNNNNNNNNNNNNNNNNNNNNNNNNNNNNNNNNNNNNNNNNNNNNNNNNNNNNNNNNNNNNNNNNNNNNNNNNNNNNNNNNNNNNNNNNGUGCCAGCGAACCCAGGCCACACCCAACGCGCUGGGGGGCUGCUAGGGCCGCCGGCGGAAGCAACAGCCAAUCAUAUUCCUCCAUGUAUCAUUUUUUUCUGGUCCACUCAUUCACUUUUUGCCUGGCGACUGUCCUGGGGGCACCAACGGCUGGGAAACCGUCCUCGCGUUUCAUUUGGCGAAGGUGUUUUGCCCCCCAGGACGUGCUAUAUUUGGCCCGGCGAUUGUCCUGGGGGGGGGGGCUCCAACGGCUGGAGAUGCUCUAAUUCAUUGUAUUUGCAUGUUUCCAGCAGCCAUGUAUCAAAAAAAGCUUCAGCUUUGGGUUGUUGAUUUAGCAGAAUCAAUCAUUAAUUGUUCUGCUAUAUAUGUUCUUAACCAUGACAACCUGAUUAGGCUCUUAGUUUAUUAUGGUCUUUGUUCUGGGUGGAUCUCUGACUAUUCUGGGUGGGCUUGAAUCUCUUCUUUGUUUCUUCAUCUCCUCUUAUUCUGAUUCCUGCGUUUGUUUUAUGUGAAGGUUGCUCCGAUGAGGACAAGCUGCUUCUGCAGGUGGAUGGGCCCUCAAGGCUGCUCUGCCUAUUCCUCCUGCUACCCCCACACGUGGUGAGCCCCACCCGUUCUCGAGCUACCCCUGCAAAUCUGAUGUGAUGUGCACAAAAUACUUGCAAUUGUUCUCGACACAAGAGCAUGUCAUGUAUUGUUUUAUUUGAAUGUGCAAUUUCAUUGCUUCUGUGUUGUUUGAUGCUUGCUUCACAAGAGGGAAAUCAUGGAUAUAAACUGCGCUUCCUUUCAAGUUGAAUAGUAAUGAUCACCAUUUGGUUCCAUUUUCUCCUCUGCAUCCAGUGUUCACUCUCUCAUAGAUGUCCAUAUAUACACAGUUCUGAUCUCCUUUUUCUGCGGCUCCAUACAUCGAACACAAAGCCGUCGAUGCAUUGAGGGCUCAAUGUCGUCUCCGUCGGCUGAGCGGCAAGCCGGGGUUGGGCCUGCACACCGUCUAUCAGCACCCUCCCGCGUCUCCAUUCACGGAUCUGCAGGUCAACCCCUCUUCUCCUCCUAUCCACGCAUCUUCUUUUCCAGAGCUAGGUGUAUGGUUGCAUGGCAAUUUGUGUUUUGGGGCUCACCAUGUUCUGCUUGCCCUGGUUGGCCAAUGAGGCUUUCCUUUUCUGGUAAAGGCCAAAUGUACUAUUCUCUAUGCUUUAUAUUUUUGUAGUUCCUUUGUUUCCAUGCUUGUUUUUUGAUGGGGUGUAAAUAUAUGCUUUUUUGUUCCUUGUCUGGAUUCAGGUAGGGCCUAACAUUAUUGUUCCUUUGUGCAUGGAAAUGUUGGUGGUUUUGUUCCUUUGUAUAUGGAAGGGGGCCUUGAUUAGAAUUUCUAACGUUUGAGUUGUAAUUAGUGUUUUUGUUACACAUGAAAACAUAUGGUUGUUUGUCCAAUCACAUAUGAAAAAGAGAUGAUUGUUUGUCCAACAAUUUUCUUUCUCUGUGAUAGUUUUACUAGAAAUAAAGUAUAGUCACUAUUACAUCCUAUUUUAUAUCUUGUUGUGUCGUGAUAUCUGUAUAGACUCUGUCUACGUCCUUUUGAUAUUCCAAGUUUUGUUUUCUAUGGCUCAAUUAGUUACCCCGUAUCAAGAGAAAUUUAACUGGUAUUUGCGGUAGAGUUAGCUGAAUUCAUGAAGCAAUGAUUUAGUUAUUAUUAAAGCUGAAACACAACAUGUUUUGACAAAUGCAUUCUAAGUAAAGCCUCCAACUAACAUAACCAAAAACAUAUUCUUUAGGUUUAUCAUCUAUUGAAGUAUUAUGUAGAAUUUUAAAUCAUACGAGGCAAAGCAAAUGAGCUCUAUGCACUUUCCAUGUAGCACAGAACAAAAAUAAUCAUGUAUAUUUUGGAUGCACCUAGAUAUACUCAUCAGCAAGGCUGAGGUUAUAGGGCACUCACCCACAUUGUCGAUAUCUCCGUCACUAUGAUCACCCACAUGAUGGACAAUUCCCUUCUUUCUUUUCUCUGUGGCUAUUGACACUUAAUGCUAUUACUGUGUGCAUAUAUGUACUGUGAUCCAUUCUCAUUCUUCAUAUCUUGAGAAACUAUCUCAAGAUACUCGCGUUUGUGUUUUGGAGAAAGCCUAUUCUAUGAUUAAUAUAUCGAGUAUGGAUGGCGCGAUAUCACCUCUCUUUAUGAUGAUGUUCUUACAGAAUAUAGGUUUUAUGGUAACACGUCUUAGCCAACACCUAUACUGAUGCUCAGACCAGAUGAUUAUAGUCUCUCCUUGCUAUUUUUCUUGAGGUGUGUACAUCUAUCUAGACAAUUUAAUUAAAAUAUAUAUUCCAUACAAACCAUCAAUACAUGUUAGUUGACUUUGAAACUAAUCAGUAAAAAGGUUGUCCCUUUCGCAUUUUAUGGACAUAAAGAUUUGGUGUUGACUGUCGAUCUUCAGUUAACACAUGACCUUACAACCGUAGGGAGUGGGAAAAAACUUAUAUGUUUGGCACAUUUGAAGAACAUAUCAUAGUAACGAAGUUUUGGUAAACAAUGUCCUAGAUCUCAACCAUAUAGAAAUACUAAAUAUAUGUUUAUUUGUAUAUGGAUUAAUUAUACAGACUUAUAAAACCUUGUGCAGGGCACAUAAAAGAAAUUUGAAAUAACUAUUAUUUCAAUAUUUGCUUUUUCAGUUGAGCAUAAUAGUUUAUAGCCUGAUAGGCUUGGACAUAAUUGUCUACAUGUACUGCUCAGUAGGCGACAUCCUUUGGGAAAUUGAGGAUGUCCUCGUGCAUUUUCUAAAUACAAUUGGGGCAUAUCUGAGGAAUGAAGGGAGGAAUAAACUCGUGGGAGAGUUCGGUGCAGAGGAAGAAGAACAAGAUAUUAUUUAUUUCUUGUGUACAGUCAAGCUUGUGCAUUGUCCCACUGUAAGUUAUUUCAACAAUAGUAGUAACUGUUAUCUCUGGCCAUCUGUUGCGACAUUUUCUUUAACCACCAAUGCAUAUUUAUUUUCUUGUUAAUAACUCUCAUAAUUGCCUGCUACUGUUUCAGUUCUGGGGCCAGGCAACCUUGAAUCCAACGUCCACCUGCAGGCUACAUCUCAGGUAGGAUAAAAAGAUUGCAGUGAACUUGAUGGGUAUAUCAUUAUUGUUGCCUCCUAAUUUGUGUGAUGAGCAAAUGUGUAGAUUGUGUGUAAAUCCGAGAUGCCUAAAACGGUUGGGAACUGAACUUGUUACCUCGGUUCACUUUAAUGGCAUGUUAAACUCGAUGCACUUUCUGGACUGUGACAUUUUUCCUGAAAUUUUGGAAGUGACUGCUAAUGUAGUCUAAAUAGAGUGACUGAGUAGUUACUUUCUCACAAGAGUUGACUUCCCGUUAUUGGAGUACUUGCUAAGAUGGAUUGGUGGUUUUUAUGUUAGAUGAAAAAUAUUACAUCAAUCUUUACGGCUUUUUAUGGGCAAGUGAUUCCGACUCCAUAAUAAGGAAUAAUAUAGCCCUAGUGCUGUGAUAAUGUUAAAACAUUUACCUCUUUUAUCGGUUCAUGUUAUGUAUUUGCUGCGAAAAAAUGGUCUUAUAUCAAAUAAUAGCCUAGAGCUUUUGGAGUGUUAUUACUUGUAUUUGUUGCUUGGAUGUAUAAACCUUCAACAGACUGUCAAUUUUGCUUUUAUAUAAUCUGUUUGUUUAAGUCUGCUGCAUAUUGGUCAAAAGCUCAUGCUAAUUGAUGAUGUUAGGUGAUGAUCUUGUAUCUAACAGUGAUUUCUGAAUGCAUGCUAAAGAAAACUCAUGAACAUCAUGGCGCCUUGUUGAUGGGGUGAUCAAUAGCUACUAUAUUGGGACCCUGCACUUAAAUUGUAGGUCUGAUUUUGUUUCGGAGUUCUCCUGCUACCCACAAGCUCAGAUAGUUCUUUUGUUUGUGCAGGGGAAAUUGCAAAGCAUAUUAUGAAUUGUUACAAGAAACUAUUUCUGCUGUUUUGGUGCAAGGAUGUUGCUUUUUAGUAUGCUUCCCGUAUCUUGGUAUCUUGGAAUAAUAAACAGAUAGAUGUCGUGUACCAAGAUUAUUCCUUGUUGUUAAGAGGGAUACAAAUAUUAUACAAGAAUUUUUCUGAUGACUCCUAAAGCAUAUUUGGAUAUAUAGCAAAGUAUAUUGUCGCUUCCCUGUUAGUAAAAUGAUUAUGUUAGAAAUUUGGUUGGCAGCCCCUACAUUUGGCUGAUUGCUAGCUGACUGGAUUACUCAUGUUUGCGGACUCUGGUAACUUAUGCCUACCAAGAACUACAUGAAUUUUGUGUCUUGCUGCAGUGAACAUUACCAAACUAAUUCUAAAGGUGUUAUAAUCAUGUUUUCUUUUGCAUUAUCAACUUUUAACUUUUGUCAUUUGUUGACACAUUCCUUUUGCAUUAUCAACUUUUAACUAUUGUCAUUUGUUAACAUGAUUAUUUAGCAUGUUCACUAUGCGAGUAGUAAUAAUAGGAGCUAUUUAUUUGCCAGAUAACUAACACUAUUCAUAAGGCAUAAGGGUUAGAAAAAGAACUGUAUUCUUUUUGUGAUGAUUUUCGUAUCACUACAAGAAAUGUGUUAAUACAUGACGGAUGCAAACUGUCACAGGUGUGCGCAAAACCGUCAAGGUAGCUCAGCCAUGACGGAUCCAAAAUUCAUCAUGUAUAUCGCGUCAUAAUUUGACCACCAUGCAGUCCAUGACGGAGCGCCAGAACCGUCAUGGAUCCAUGACGGUUCUUGACCGUCACAGCUUACUAUCAAAUAACGGCGUUAACCAUGCAUUCCACAUCAUCAUCUGACGUGGCGACCAACUUGGAAGCCCAUCUAGUAGUUUGCCCAAUUAGAAGUUUGGCCCACUUAAUUUCCACUCUAUCCAAGACCAUCGGCCCAUGUUUUCAUCAACCCAUAAGAAUAUUGGCCCAUUAAAUUUCAGGACGGUCCGAGGCCCACUAAUUUUGGUCGAGACAUUAGCUCGUCACUUUGUUUCUCUUGGUCCAUGUAAACUUUGAUGUAAUAAGAAUUUUUCUAAUUAUAUAUGCUCAUUGCCUUGUAAAUAAAUAUGGAAAUUGCAUAAACAAACCAAAUAAAUAACAUUUUUUUCAAUCAAAAGGAAGAAAUACACAACAAAAAACUUGAAAUUACGGAUGUGUUUCCAGAUCUGGCCUACUACUCUCCCUAAAGCUAUACAAUCUGCAGUCACCAUAUCAAGCGUCGGCCAGCGCUCGCGGGACGUCAAGAGGAGUUCAUCGCCAUGGCUUUUCUGGCCACAGAUCUGGCCGUGUCCGCUGGUGUCAUCGAAGGGAAACACCAUGUCCACCACCGUCUCGCGUCGACCCAUGCUCCUGUCCAGCUGACCUUCUCCACCGAUAGGGACAAUGGAAUCGUGGUUACCUGCGCAUCGAUGAACCAUACAGCACCUCGAAUAAUCAAAAGAAAAGGGAAGGGAGAAUCUGAAGCAACAGGGAGGGGAGAAUCUGAAUCGACAAAUGACUCAACCUGCAAAACUCGACGGACAAGCUAACGGCGAGGCCGGCAAAGGCCAUGAACGUAGGCCCGCACUGACGAAUGGGCUGCAGUGGCCCAGCAUGGAGCAGCCCCCGGCGGCGGCACGGCGCAGCCACCCGGCCAUCGCAGCACAACAUAACCGCCGCCAAGCCAGGGGACGGGGACGUGCGGCCAAAGCCACCGCCGCCAAGCACUCACAGGGGCCCAGCAUGGCAACCCCAGAAGGUGUGGAAGCAGCCUGAAUGUCACGGUGGCGAUGCUUUCCUCUGUGUGGCCUCCAAGCGCCUCGACCUGCACUCAAAUCGGGAGAACGGGAGGCUGAGAUGAGAGUUAACAUCGAAGAAGGAAGAAGGAAAUAAAGUCCGAGCGGCGUCCGAGCGCAUCAACCUCAACAUCCAUCGCCUGCUCAUAGAGAUGGAAGGAGGCAGAUCUGGACGGAGGAAGAGGAACGACAGGUGAAGUCAUUGCUCGGUGGAAGAGAAUAUAGCUGGCCAAACGGGCCGGGAUAGUUGGGCCGGCCCGGUAGCACGGCCGGCACGGCACGGCACGUGCUAAACGGGCCAGGCCCGGCACGCAGCACGCCAUGGGCCGUGCCUGGGCCUGAAAGGCGAGCACGCGGGCUGGCACGGCACGGCCCGAUUAACUUUUUUAUAUUUUUUUAUGUAUCCUAAUAUGGGCCAACAGGUAAAAAUAGGCUAAAAACGCUCAAUGCGCAAAAUAGGAGGUAGAUUAGUGGGCCUGGCGUGCUGGUGGGCCGGCCCGAUUAGCAUAGGGGUCGUGCCUGGGCUGCAGGCUGCAGCACGCGGGCUGGCACGGCACGGCCCGUAUAAUAAUCGUGCCUAGGCGGGCCGGGCCGUGCCAGGCACGAUUAGGAUGGGCCGUGCCGUGCCGGGCCGGGCCGGCCCGUUUGGCCAGCUAUAGAAGAGAAGACGGCGGCGUGUGGGGUCUAGGAUAAAGGAGUGGAGACAGAGAGACCGUGUGCUCGCCGUCGGAUCUGCGAGAACGGGCGGCUAGGAUGCAUGAUCCGCAUGAUGCUCGGAUCAACCAAUCAGGAUAGAGCAUUUGUAUCACGCCGGAUCCACGCCUCCUCGGCUGGGAAACCCAAGUGGGCCGGCCAGGAAUUCUGAACAUUUUUAGUUUUGUGUUUUCUUUUUCCCUUUUCCCUUAUUUUCUAUACUCCCUUUUUCUUACUGAAUCAAUAACUCCUGAAAGUCAGAUUUUGAGAAUCUCGCCCUGAACGCCUUGUCACCACUGGUCCAGGCGCAUGCAACUUGGCGCAAGAAUAUCAGAGAUGUCACACAUUUUUCGUUCGGAAAAGAAACGAUACAUCAAGAGCACACACGUAUCCCCUUUGCCCACCACACACUCCCCCUCCCCCCUCGCUUCGUAUUUUUCUCUCCGGUGUCCACGACGACGUGUACCGUCUCGGAGCAAGGGACGGAGGCCAAAGCCCAGAGNNNNNNNNNNNNNNNNNNNNNNNNNNNNNNNNNNNNNNNNNNNNNNNNNNNNNNNNNNNNNNNNNNNNNNNNNNNNNNNNNNNNNNNNNNNNNNNNNNNNNNNNNNNNNNNNNNNNNNNNNNNNNNNNNNNNNNNNNNNNNNNNNNNNNNNNNNNNNNNNNNNNNNNNNNNNNNNNNNNNNNNNNNNNNNNNNNNNNNNNNNNNNNNNNNNNNNNNNNNNNNNNNNNNNNNNNNNNNNNNNNNNNNNNNNNNNNNNNNNNNNNNNNNNNNNNNNNNNNNNNNNNNNNNNNNNNNNNNNNNNNNNNNNNNNNNNNNNNNNNNNNNNNNNNNNNNNNNNNNNNNNNNNNNNNNNNNNNNNNNNNNNNNNNNNNNNNNNNNNNNNNNNNNNNNNNNNNNNNGUUUCACGGCGGUGGUGGCUGAGAGGAGAUGCGGUGAAGGGACUGCACAACACCGGAGCUUUGCGAGGUCCUACGUUGCCACUGGUGGUGGUGGUGGCAGGGUAUGUGGUUUGUUUGGAGCUCAUGUCAAGUUACAGAUAAAAAUGAGCCCCCCUCCCCCCAAAUGGCAAAUUUGUUUGCAGUGAUGGCAAGUUCACAUGGAGCCAUACUACAAAUUUUCCAUAUUUUUUAUUGAGGAAGAACAAUAUAUUGCCAUGGAAAAUUCAUACAUGGUUUCUUGACAUGUGUGGUAGAUGUGCUGGCAAGUUUUAAACCAAUAUUUGCCAUGGUUAAUUCAGUAUGUAGUUUUUGAUUUGGCGGUAGAGAUGUCAAGGCAAUUUUGCCUCCUCUAGUAUGCGGCGAUCGUCGCCCAAUUUUGGACGUAAGAACUCUCGAGGCCCAAUUUUCCAGCAAUUUUUAUCAGCUUCGCAACGUGGCUCUCAUUACACGCACGAGCUUUGCAACGUGGCCCGUGAAGUGGAGGUUGCUUUUGCAACACAUGUGGUGUUGCAUACCAAUCCCAUGACUAUGCAGCACGUGCCCGCGCCCCGGCUCGUUGCCUUGUCACUGUGUCGCGUUGGGACCCUCCCUAGCCACCACGCAUCAUCCAUCGCGACCUUGUCGCCGUCCGCCGCAUUGAUUCGGCCGGGGACGGAGAGAUCUACCGGCCCAGCCUAUCCACUGCCACGGUCAUCGGUGCCCCACCAAUGACAUGUGAACAACCACAACAAUCCCGGAGUCAACGACGACCACGUUUCUACACCACCAUCUCCGUUGAAAUUUUUUCUACAACAUCAUCUGUGUUGGAAAGGGUUAUGGAGCACUGCCUUUGUUGCAAUGGUGAGGGAGGGCAGGGCCACUAUAUUGAGCCAGAUCUAAUGGCUGCCGAGGCGGCAGAAAAGAUUUGCCGGCCGACGUGUAGUAUGUCCCACUAUUCUUUUCUGGAUUCGUUUUUCUGUUUUUUCCAGUUUUCUUAGAACUUUGUUUGGCAUUAUCUGAACUUUUUUUAAUAACACACGAAUUUUUCUUGUCGUGUAAUUAUAUAUUUUAAAAUGUAUGAACUUUAUAAAAAUACAUUCACAUUUCCUAUUAUAUUUGAAAUAAAAAAAUAAAAAAAGUUCAUGUCUACCUCGAAUUUGUUCAGCAUGUUUUUGGAAAAUGUUUCAUCGGUAUUAAAAAAUUGUCAACAUGUUUUUGAAAAAUGUUUGUCAUGCUUCAAAAAAUAGAAAACGUGUAUUUUAAAAAUAUUCAGUGUGUUUUAGAAAAUGUUCAACGUGUAUUAAAAAAAUAUUAUGUACAAUUAGUCUUACAUGUGUAUAGACUACAAACGUGUGUAACAUUUUUAAUACAUUUCCUAUGAUUAUUAUUAUUAAACAAUAAUUUUUAAUACAGGUUGAACAAUAUACAAUAAUUGUGUGCUUUUGGUCCUGAAUUAAGAUACGAAAUUUACAAAAUAAUAUUUAAUACAUGUUGAACUGUUUAAAUACAUGUAAAUUUUAGAAGAAGUUCACGUUCAUCCACAUAUGAUAAUAUUGUAUACACCGUUUUAUUAGAAUAAUAACAGUUGAGAUUUAAAGGUUCUUACGUAACAUCGUAAUAUAUAUGUGCCAGUAGUAUUGAACCGUCAUGUUGUCACGUUAUAUAUGAACAUAGGAGGCUGCAAAUAAUCAUGACGUACACACAUACCUUAAAAAAACAUGACGUACACACAUGUACACAAAUAAAAGCUCUAGGAAAAAAAAGUAGGAUGACGUAUGAAUUAGAAACGGAGACCUAGGGGAGGUAGAUCUAUUUAGUAUGAAAAAAUUCCAUACACACAUAGGACGUGAAGGCAGACUUCAACUUGGACACAUACAAGUAUUGCACAAGAAAGCACGCGUGAAGGAUAUUCAUUGGAAAAGAACCUGUACGUAAAUCUACCAACGAAAAGAAGGCAAUAAAUGUCUCCACAAUUAUUUCACUAAAAAUGUCUCCAUGACUUGGAUUUAUCUCCUUAUGCAAAACGAGAUCGAGUGACUACAAAAUUGGAAGUAAAAUAAAAUCAGCUAGAAGUUUCCUAAUCUCUUCACGGCUCUUUCUCUAAAAAGAAUUCUCCACGUACGACUCAGAUUUAUCUCUUUAUUAUAAGGAAAAAAAGAUUGACUGUCAAACGGUUGGAAAGAAAGAAAAAAUACGGCUAGAGGAUUUCCUAAUAUGAUUCGGAAAUUAAAUAAGGAAACACAUUUUUUUGCCGAUCUAUCUCCUUGUAGGGAAAAAAGAUUGAUUAUGAAUUUGAAAAAAAACGGCUAGAGAGUUUCCUAAUAUGAUUCGGAAAUUAAAUAAGGAAACGAAUAUUUCGGAUCUACUACCUCCGUCCCAAAAUAAGGAAACGAAUAUUUCGGAUCUAGUGUAGUGUUAAAAACGUAACUAGUGUAGUGUUAAAAACGUAGAAACGUUUUUAACACUACACUAGUGUUAAAAACGUUCUUAUAUUUUGGGACGGAGGGAGUACGUAUCUCCUUAUAGGAAAAAAAAGAUUGAUUAUGAAUUUGAAAAAGAAACUUAGGCUAGAGACUUGCGUACUACUAUGAAUAUUGGAAAUUAAUAAUUAAUUAAAUAAAGAAAUGAGUAUUGGCUAUUAUGCACGUUCGAUAGACUUCACACAAGACCAUCGAUCUCCGUGGAGACUAGGAGCAAAGGGCACAUUGGCUGGCCAGCUACGCAGAAAUAUAGUUGUUACUAAUGUUAACUGGACCAUUUCCUCAAAAAAGAAAAAGCUUAACUAGGCCAUGAAAGCACGUACAUGUGAGAGAGAAAACACUAGAUUAUCUAAUCACUGGCUAGACUUAGACUCACAUUAUACACCUGAGAUCAUCAUCGUUGGGCCAGAAUUUUGAGUGCCCUGCUGCACCUGUUGAUCAUGCUAGAGUAGAUCACCCAGAAACAUUGCAAUGCUAUUCGCUAAGGUAUUAAAAAAUAUUACGCACAAUUAAUCAUACAAGUGUAUAGACUACAAACAUGUGUAACAUUUUUAAUACAUUUCCUAAUAUUAUUAUUAUUAAACAAUAGUUUUAAAUACAGGUUGAACAAUAUACAAUAAUUGUGUGCUUUUGGUCCUGAAUUAAGAUACAAAAUUUAAAAAAUAAUUUUUAAUACAUGUUGAACUAUGUAAGUCCAUUUAAAUUUUAGAAAACGUUCAUGUCUACCUCUUCAAGGUACACAAUAAUGAAAAUAGAAUAGAGAUUUAAAAUACAAAAUAAUUGUAUACUACUACUUAUCGUAACUUUUUUAUGUGGGAAAAACUAAAUGCAAACUUGGACAAAAUAAAAAAGAAAACGAGUAGAAACUACUACAUGGUUGGCGUACAGGACCAGCCAAAUUAUAUGCGGUGCUAUAGGCGAGCGAUUUGCUCAAAAAAAAAGAGGCGAGCGAUACAUGGUAUAGUCUAUAUACGUUUCUAGCCCAUAGGUGGAUAAACACGGUUUGACCAGGUGGCUAGCUUGUUUGGUUUCAUAGCUGGAGGUCUUAGGUUCAAAACCCUUUGCUCACAAUUUAUCCUAGUCAGGACCUACAUGUUUCUUUUUGUUAUUUCUCUCUCUCUCUCUCUCAUACUAACAUGCGGGACCCACACUCUACUGCAAGCUGAUGUUAUUUCUCUCUCUCUCAUACUAACAUGCGGGACCCACACUCUACUGCAAGCUGACAUAGCAACAGUCUAGGCACCUCACGUAGCUUGGGACGUAGUGAGGACUGACAUGUGGGCCAAAGAAGUAAAAACGCACAACACAUUAGCACGAGCCAUCCAUGACGGUCCAGAUGAUGUAUAAGGGAAAUUUUUUGGUCCCGCUACUCAUUUCAUGACGGUUUUUGUGACGGUUCCUUUAUGUCUGUCAUAACGGGGGCUAUUGUUUUAGGAUCCAUUCUCAUCUUCCGGAUAUGUGACGAUUUCAGUGACGAACUCCGUAAACUGUCAUCGAUGGCACCCUAUAUGUGACGGAUUGUAGGAACGUCACCUGAAAUCCGUCAUGGAUUAACAGGUUUCUUGUAGUGUAUGGCACACUAUGGAUUCUUUGUAUAACACAUACUGUCGAUCAACAUGUGUUUACAACGUAGGGAGGAGCCGGGCGACAAGGCAGUCAGACCAAACUCUCUAUCCAUAUAUAUAGGUAGUCUGAUGUUAUGCCAUAGCCGAACCAUAUAUGUUUCGUGUACUGCUCUAUCAAUCUGGUCUUUUGGUAUAUUAGACUCUAUCCUUUGUAAUGAACUUAUUGUCAUGGGCGAUCAUUAUGACUGGAUCGUAUGGUAUGAAUCGGGUCUUUAUGCUUUGUGAUGAAAUAUCAUAUUAUCCUGUUCACCAGUUUGGUUUGGUUUUGAGCUAAAACGUAUAAAAAUACAUGGCUUACAACAAUGGAUAUAUGUGAUGAUAUAUUGAGUGAUUAAGCAUAAUUUUAGACUUUCGGUGCUGGACCAAUGGGAUGCAUGGGGUAAUUGAAUGUUUCUUCUUCACUUUAUUAUUAUCGGUUGGGAUCAGCACUCUCGCGCGAUCUAGUUAUGAUGAUGCUGCCUAUACAAAGCAAACCUACGUGGCUAUAAAGUGGAGCACCAUGCGAACAAGAAACUGGCGCUUGAGGACAAACACGAGUGGAACUGAUGUCUGAUGCAACACGGCGCUGCUGUACGCGUCAGGGCGGACAGCAACGACGUGUAACAGAUGGGAUGUCGGAUUGCACGCAAAACAAAGGAAUCCAAUGCAAUUUUGAUAGGUUUUUUUUCAGAUUAUGGACGAGCUUGCGGCGGAAACUAUGGUGGAGAAAAAAAAGUUUGAUCUAGUAGACAAAAUUUUCUCGUACAAAUCUAAACCAGCACUAUUUGUAGGAUGAUGCAACCAAAAAUUCAACUACGCAAGUACUAGAUGCAAAAAUUGCUAAAGGCUAAAAAGAUAGAUGCAAAGGAUGAACUAAUCUUUCUUUCUUUUUUGGCUUUUUUUGGGUUAUAGGACAUGAAAAAUAAACUAAUCUAACAAAACUGUAAAUCUCUCACCGAUGAAACUGAAAACUGACACCACUUAUGUGACGGCGGUCCGAUGUUUCGAUGAGAGUGAGGAUAACUAUCAAUUUGGUGGAUUCUGAUCUUGACGAUCCGGCUAUACAAUACCCGAUGAUAUGCCUCGACAAUCGCUAAACCAAUCUCCGAUGGUUAUUGACCUUGCCGUAGGCACGGUCAACCUGAACGACGAGGUUUGAGUUCCUGCAAGCAACUAAAGAGAAGAACAAAGGUGAAUUGCAAUCUGAAAUUGCGAAUGAAAAAUUAAGCACAUGAACUAGAUCAAAAGUUGGGGUUCCACUUUGGAUCUGAUAAGGCGGUAGUCCUACACGUCUCAUAGAUGCGAAAUUGUAGCAUGGCUAAACAAUACAAUAAAACCCACGUAAACCCUAGAAUAUGAUGACUAUUUAUUAAAGGCCGGCGUGGAGAACGCUUCAUCUAUUUUCUUGGAAGUCAAGACGGGCCUGCUAAUUGGCCGGACCCACACGCGAUCUGAUUUGAAAAUAAACUUCUCAUAUCAAUCUGGUGGCAAACUGCCUCGUCGGUACUAUAGGCCCAGAUGCGCAACACACAAGGCCAUGCAUGGGCGCAAAACCUAUCCGGCGCCCUCAGCGUCCGAUACCGUGUUAACGGUAAAGGGCGCAGAACGUCGUGAGAUACUUCGGUCCAUAUCCGGUGUGGGCGUUAGAGCAUUGAGAUAAGUACCAUGAUUCAAACCGGCAAUCGACUGGUUCAACACACACCACCUAACCAAUAGGCCACCUGCUGUUGACGUGGUUAGUUAUAGCUUUUCCUUCUUUUCUUCUUUGUACCUUCUUUUUUGUUUUUUUGUUGGAAUGAUUUUGUUAGUUUUUAUUAUUUUCCUUCUUAAUUUUUUUCAAUAAUACCAACAUUUUUCGUUUCAAUUUCGUGAAUUUUUUAAAAUUCGAUAUUUUUUUUCAAAAUUCAAUGAACUUAUUUGAAAAAAGAUGAACUUUUUACAAAUUGGAUGAACUUUUUUCAAAUUUGAUGAACCUUUUUUCAAUCUCGAUAUUUGUUUUCAAAUUUGCCAACUUUUUUGAAAAUUCAUGUACAAUUAUGAAUUCAUGAAUUUUUUGAUUUUUUUUAAUUUUGCAAAUUUUCCCUUUUUAGUUUUUUUAAACAGCAAUGGUUUUUUCGACAAGUGCUUGCAAGAGAAAAAAGGCUAGCAAAGGAGCGAGCAGCGACCGAUCGAGCCAGCAGCAGCGGUCGAGCGAGCAGUCGAGCGAUUAGCGAUCGAGCGAGCAGCGAUCGAGCGAGCCAGCAGCAGCGGCCGAGCGAGCAGUUGAGCGAUUAGCGAUCGAGCGAACACAUGCAUGUUGAUUCGAUAAUGCUCAAGUGUAAAUCUUCUGUAUUAAACUUCGCAUCUUCACCCGAGGUUUGUGCAUGUCUUCUUUAAUCCUGCAUAUAAAAUAUUGUGUUGUAUUUUUGUUUCGGAUAACAAAAUAAUAAUUCAUAUAAUUUCUAUUAGAAUUCAUCUGAUAAUUAUCUUUAAGCGUAAUAAUUGUUGUUAUAUCCGUACGGGCCAUGUUUAUAUCAGGUCGUUAAUCUUCUUCUUCUUGUCCGCAAGCCACUUCUUCACAUGCUCAUCCAAGAUGGUUUCGUCUGCCAACAUGAUCAUCGCAUCCACCACGUCCUGUGAGAGUUGCAAUCUCUCCUUCUCAAGCUCUAUGUAGCCAAAUGUCUUGGCCUUCUCGAGUUCCCAUUUGAUCGCCACCCCUUGGUGGUCCACCAUGUACGAAACUCCUUGCACCGCCGCCGCCUCCCUCUCUCGCUGCAGGCGUUGCCGCAACUACCGGGCGGCGUCCUCCGCCUUGCAAGUCGGAGCCGACGAAGGGUCGCCGACGGACAAGGUGGACUGCGUCUUCGUCGCGGUGGUGGAUCGGGACCGGUGGUGAGGAUUGGGAGCAAGGGUGGAGGACGGCGAGGGUUUGGGUGCGGCAAAAGUUGGAGGGCGGCGGGAGGAGGAGAAAGGGUUUGGUGCAUUUGGCACAAUUUUCGAUGGGGUCGGGCUGACGGGUCCGACGUGGCGGGCGCGCCCGGGCGCCCCAUAUUUGGGCUGGAUAUGAGGGGUGUCAGUCAGCCCAGGCGUUCGAGGCCCGUUUAAGGAGCCCGUCUGGAUCGAAAAAUCGUGACCGGGUGGCCCACCCGGGUGUAUGAGCCAGGCUUGAGGUGCCCGACUGUAGAUGCUCUAAUCAUCUAGAUCCGACGCUCAAAGGCUCCACCCUUCCCCACGGCUUGGGUUCGGGCGCCUCCCCAAAACUUCGUUGGGAUCCGCCACAACCGGCAACGGCGAGGCCAGAGGUGGCCGGAUCCGGCACAGGUUGGUCUCUCCCCUCCUUCUUCGCCCACCCUCUCCUCCUUACCUCACGCCACUUGUCUUCCCUUUUUCGCAGGUCGCCAUGGCGCGGACGGCGAUGACGGCAGGAGGGGCACACACAUCCGUGGAAUGGGACGCCGCCAUGGAGAUGGAGAUCGUUCGUCACACCACGCAGAGGCCCCAUGGAGCCUCCCUCCUUCGGUGACUUCUUCUCAGGCCCCACCCACUACCUCUGCCCUCCCCCCUCCCCUACUUUGAGUUGCACCAUGCUUUGUUUCAGAUUCAUCCACCCAUGGAUGAUACAUGGCAAGUUAGGGGUAGUUGCAGUUUGAGGUUAAUCCCUUGAUUGGCUGCUAUUUAGGGUUGAUUAGAUUAGUUAGCUCAGUUGGCUGCUAGACUUUAGGAGUGCAUACAUGGGUAUGACGUGCUCUGCACAUUUAGGAUUGAAGUAUUGUGCUGCAGCACUCAGUGACGUUAAUUUAGGGCAUUUCAGUGUCAGUUUCACUAUAUUUCGGGGGACAUUUAACAGUGCAAUUUCAUGGUUAUUACAGUGUAAUUUCAAGGUUCUUGCACUGUAAGUUCAGAGAAUUACAAUGUUAGUUUAUGUGAAUUCCCGUGCAUUUUACUGUGUAAUUUAAGUGCAAUGGAAAUUAUAGUGUAAAUUCAGUGUAAUUUACUAUGUAAAUUUACGGAAAUUACACUGUAAUUCGUGUGCAACUUUUAGUGUAAUUUACACUGUAAUUUCAACGGGUUUACAGUAGAGUAAUUUAAUUGUAAUUACAGUGUGCACUUUAGAGCAAUCAUACUAUAUAUUUAGUGAAUUUAAAGUAUCACUCCAUACCUUUCCGGUUUGUCUUUUUUCUCUACAAG
rnacentral:lncRNA from 1 species